rnacentral:lncRNA from 1 species
UUUUUUUUUUUUUUUGGUAAUGCCUGCACUUUUUCAUUGAGCCAUUUGUCAUGGUUUAUUAAAUACAGGUCGACUCCACAGUCUCCACUAAGAUGAGAAAACUCAGCACACAUUUUAUCAGUUUUAUGCGCACAAUGCAUGGCGUAAUAACCAAAAUGUAUUUUGUACCGUGAGACAAUAUGACAGCUCGAAGAAACGAGUCAUAUUCAUCCAUGGCUCCCAGACUGAUCAUGGCUUAGAGCUGAAUACCAGAAUUGACAACAUUCAAGUAUAACAAGUAAACAACCAAACAUCUUUUGCAGAAGUUUCAACGUAGAACCACUCCAUGUUUUGCAACACAUUUUUCAAAAGAAAUAGAGGCAUCCUUUUUCUUUUAUUCUAGUACACUAUUAUAUAAUUUGAUUUCGUAUAAUAAAAAGUUUGAGCAAUCAUAUAUAUGUCAUUAUUUGUAAGUGGUCCUCUACCACAGUGAUGAAAAUGAGUAUUGCCCUUACAUCAUGACAUGUGUUCAAAUCACAUUGGCUCUAUAAUCUAACAUAUAAUUUAACAAAUUAAUCGUUUGACAAAAAAAAAAAAAAAUAUAUAUAUAUAUAUAUAUAUCUUUAUUUAAGAUUAGCGUACGAAAUAUUAUUUUGACGUUUAGAUCGAAUGAGUAUGCUUAAUGUGUGCUUGUAGUUUUAGUUUUCUUUAUACUAGUAGUCAGUGGUGAAGUCAGGAUUUCUUGGGGGGAGGGCGAACUUAAAAGAGUGCAAGGUUAAAGAAAAAUGGCAACAAUUAAAUUUGUUUAUAUAGUAAUGUCUUUCAUAAUUAAUCAAUACAAACAAAUUACAAUUGUUGCCGCGAGAUUUCAUGUCAUGAAAACGUAGCAUAAUAGGCUCAUUAUCAAUAAAAGCAAAUACAUCUCUCUCAACGUAAACAACCAUGCUAUCACUUAACCAUUGAUCUCCCAUUUUGUUACGCAAUGGUGUUUUCACAAUCUUCAUAGUAGAAAAGGCUCUCUCCACCAAAGCGGUUGCAACCGGUAACACAAAAGCCAAUGUAAGAAGUUUAAACACUAACAUAUAGCUUUCACACCUCCCGAUCUUCACUAACUCUUUUGCAAGAUCACUAAUUCCUCUCAAUAAUGAAAACUCACUAUGUAUCUUCAUAUCAUGAAUGUAAUUGUCAAGUUGAAUUGGAAGAUUCAUGAGGUCUAUACGAUCAAAAUCUUGAGGAUAAAGAUAGGCUAAACGAACAAUUUUUGCUUUGUCAAAAGAUGCAAAAUUAUUCACCGGACUCAAACAUGCCAUACAAAGAAGCAGCUCGGUGUUUACCUCAUUGAAGCGAUCAUUCAAUUCCUUUAGCUGCAUAUUAAGGACUUGAAAAUAGAGGUCCACACGAUAGUAAUGAAAGUUCGUGAUUUUUGGAGCUUUAUGCCUUGAUUUUCCAGGUACAAAAUGCAAAUCCUCCAUGUUAGGAACGACGAUAUCAUGCUCCUCACAAAACUUUUCUACAUCAUGAAGCAAGUCCCCAAAGUCAUCAUCUCUCAAGGAUUGUAGUCUUUGCUUGCAUACUUCCACUAAUGCCAUCACAUUCACAAUAUCUUGAUCUUUCUUUUGCAAUGCUUGUGAUAACUCAUUUGUAAUUCCCAAUUAUUCUUAGACUCUUAAUCCUAGAGUAAACUAUACUAAUAUGCAUAAUAACUAAUCCAACCAACAAUUCAAUUAAUCAAUACCAAUUAGCAUACAAAUUAUUCAAUAAAUAAAAAUUCAAUUCAACUAAUCAUAUGAAUAAUUGUAUACAUUAUGUAAUAAUUCAAUUAAUUAAUCAAUAAUCAAUAAUUUUAAUUUUAAUUUUCACCCUAAAAAUUAAUUUCAUAAUAUCAUAUCAAUAAUCAACAACCAAUAACCAACUUAGUGCAUUACUGUUAACUACAUUGCAAUGUUUGAGAAUUGAAAGGAAAAUUAAGGAAGAUGAAGAAGAAUGAACAUAGAGAUCUUAGAGAGAGAGAGAGAGAGAGAGAGAGAGAGAGAGAGAGAGAGAGAGAGAUAGGGUUUGGAUUAACUAACUAAAUGAAGAUUACACACACAGUUUUUAUAAGAGAAAUCCUAACUACUUUAACCAAAUACUAACAACCUUCUAACUAUAUUACUAAUUGUACUGUAUUACGUUUGUACCCUUAAUACUCUCCCUCAAUCUCAACUGGGGUAACCCAGUUUGAGAUUGGAGAAACAUUUAUGCAAUUACUGAACACAAUGUUGAACCAUCUGCAAUCUUGCAAUCCCACAGCAAAAUCUCAUGUGCAACUCUAUUGACACAACAAAUUCUUUAUCAGAAACCUUGGUCCCGCCAGCCACAGUCACUUCCAAACAUGUGACUCCAUGGCCUUAGGCAAUAUUAACAAUCAGCUGCAAACAUAUGUGCCAUGGCCCAUGGCAUGGAAAUUGCAUGAGAAGCUUUUGACAUCACAUUGCUUUCGCCUCCAACUUGUCCACCAUUGUUUGGCAUCUCUUUGCUGUUAACUCCAACUUCUCCAGCACUGAUUGGCAUCACUAAACUGCGCAAUUUCUUAUUGGUUCUUUCCAAAGAAGUUCAGCCCCACAAACUGAUGUUUACACAUCUGUAGCUACUGUAAACCAAAUAGAAGUUUGCACCUUUUGCAGAUACAAUUUUUCCAUCCAAAAAUUCAAUAUUCAUUUGCCUCUUGCAUGAGCUUCAAUUGAAGAACAACCUCUUAUAAAAUUGUAACGCACCCUCAAGCCGGUUAUAACAAUUUCUUGCAGGAUUACCCUUUGUGCGAUUUACCAUCAUCAACUUCAUUUAACAUUGGCAUUGGCCUUUAAAACAGAAAAAAUAACAAACUAUAGUGUGGCAUUAGCCUUAACUAUAGCACCACGAGAUCGCCCUUACCAAAAUACAACUACUCUUAACAGUGGCAUCGACCUUCACAAUUUCAACAACAGAAAAUUAACAUCUAUGUAGGAUUACCCUUCGUGGGAUUUACCUACUCACAUCAUGGAAUUAUCCUUCGUGGGAUUUACCGUUAACAACUUCUUCUACCGUUCGUGGGAUUUUCCUAUUUACAUCAUGGAAUUACCCUUCGUGGGAUUUACCGUUUACAACUUCUUCAAACUUCAUCAUAUAACCGAACUUACUGUAGAUUCAUGCUAACAAUUGAGUUGGUUAGACUCGACAGUAUAGGCUGUAAUAAAGAAAGUACUGCAUCAUUCCUUCAAUUAGCAUUAUAGAAACCUAAAUUGCUCCAGUUAAUGGCAUGCAUAUGGAGGCAAGAUCAGGGGACCCCUCUGUCGUUGAUAGGGCAUCAAUAUUAGCUUCAAUGUCAAAUGUUCCAAAUGACUUGUCACUAGUUCCAAAACCUGGUAAAGCUGGUGACGAGCUGCAACAAGAUGCAGAGAUGACUUCUCUUCCUUCUGCCUGUCGAGGUUCAGACGACCAUACUUCAGACAUUGUGAUAAAGGAGAGUACGAGUUGCAGAAAGAUUAAACCCAAUAAACUUGCAGACUAUCAAUGAAGCAGAGAAAGAACUGGACACCACCAUACAAAUUGCACAAUCUAGCAAUGAUCAAUAUUCUUGAAUCCAAGAAUCCCAAAUAUCACAAACAUUGAUCUUGACAUGAAGAAUCUAGAAAACAAAUAUCACAAACAACUGGAAGAACCCAAAAAAAGAUUCACAAGAAAGACGAACAAGCGGAGUGUAAAUUCAAUAUACCACUCUUUGGCUAUCGGCCUUACUAGUUGACAAAAUAGCGAGCAUUUUCUUACUAAAACAUUUAACCAAACAGAUUAAGUGCACUGUGAAAACCAGAAAUCAAGAACCUGAUAAGAACUUCAAUCUUGAGCCAAAUACCACAGAGAAAGCAAACUAGAAACCUUGGCGAAUCAAUCUACCGACUAGCAGUAACCAUGGCUUUCCUUUCUCGCUCACACACACUGAGAAAUCCAAGACUGAGCAAAACCCAAGUGAGAAAUGAAGAGAUCACAAACAUCCAUGAAAUACACAUGAUGCACCUUCUGAUCAUGUUACAGGCAAUACUACAACUGAUGAUGCACACUUAACAUCUGACAACCCUCAGAUUUUGCCAUUGGUUACAGUGAUCAGGCAGAUCCUCCUGUUUGCCAUUUUUUUUUUUAAUUUCCGACUUGGAUUGCCGCCUGGCCUGCCUCCAUAGCUCAGGUUGUUCCGAAGUUCUGAAGGUGAAGGAAGAGGACAGGGCCGACAUCUUCCAUGUGAAGGUCGAGUAAUGGUGUCGUACUGGUCUUGUCGGCUUCAUCUUGAAACCUAUAGAAGAAACCCCAAAACUAAACACAAAACCCUUGGCAGAAAAAUCCAGAUAACAAAAAUAAGAACUAUGAAUAUGGAAGCAUAAACGAUCAAAUACGCGGAAACGAUAGAAAGUAAUGAGAGAAGAGGAAUCAACCACCAAGAUCCAUGGCGUGAGCCUCUGUGGCUCUGAUACCAUGUUAACUACAUUGCAAUGUUUGAGAAUUGAAGGGAAAAUUAAGAAGUAAGAUGAAGAAGAAUGAACACAAAGAUCUUAGAGAGAGAGAGAGAGAGAGAGAGAGAGAUAGAGUUUAGAGAGAGAAAUAGGAUUUGGAUUAACUAAAUGAAGAUUACACACACAGUUUUUAUAAGAAAAAUCCUAACUACUUUAACCAAAUACUAACAACCUUCUAACUAUAUUACUAAUUGUACUGUAUUACGUUUGUACCCUUAAUAAUUACCAUAUUCAUAUGAUUCUAUUUCUAUACUAAAUUACCAAUUAAAUAAAAUUCGUAUUAAAUAAUUAUUUAGGGUUAGGUAGGGAUUAUAAAUUUACCUUUGAAUUGAAGUUUGAAGGCUCUGGCCUAGUGGAAGCCAAUGGCUCAGUGGCUGGAGCCUGGAGUGAGACUAUGAAAAGAAAUGGCUGGAGUGAGACUGUGAGAGGAAACGACUCUGUUGCUCCGUUCCUUUCCGUUGCCUAUUGUGCAGCAGAAUCCACUAUGUUGUAGUGCAGCAGAACCAGUUCACCGUAGAACAGACAGGGAGCGGAGGGGCUAGGUUUUUUAGGAGGGGAGGGGCUGAACCUGUGUUGGGGCUGUGUUUUCCGGCAAGAGAAGUGGCGGCCGCCACUCCUCGCCCUCACGUGGCUUCGCCACUGCUAGUAGUUAAUUAACUUUGACCACGAGCUUAACACAUGAAAGUUACUAAGUAAAAAUUAUAAAAAGAAAGAAUGUAUGCCUAGACAUCGAAAUUGAAUUUUCUUAUUUACAAUAUGCUUAACAAAUGAAAAACAUUUUCCAAAUAAAUUUAUAUAUACACUAGAAUUUUGAAAUCAACUUUUUGUUGUUGUUGGAAGGAACGUGAACCCUACUAAAUUCUAUUUAUCUUAAUAAGAUAGCCAACAUUUUAUUUAGCUUCUUUAUUUUGAAAAGUAUUAGGGAAACCAAAUUUUUGGACCAUUUUUUGUAGAUCAAAUGGUAUGACCAUUGAUGGUUGAACUUAUUUUUAAUGAUUUAAAGCAGGAGUCUAGUAUCUAGUCACCACAUCAUGUGGUUUACAAAAUAUGAUUUAAAAAUUUGGUAUCAAAAUGUGUGAAUUUUUUUUUUUGAACAAAUGAUAUUAUUUACUCUAAGGGAUUAGCCUCAUAAUGAGUUAGCAUUAAUAUAGUUCAAAUUUACCUUGGCAAGAAUCGAACCUAAGACCUCUUACUUACAAGUGAAGAUAAAUACCACUAAACCGUAAUACUAAGUGGCAAAUUUUUUUAACAAAGUGCAUACUUCUUGUCUGUAUAUCGACAAAUGGAGAAUUAUUGGUGCAUGAAACAUGAUCUAAAUCAGUCCCCAGAUUUUAGCCUCAAAAAUUAAGUUCUCUUGAAUUUUGAGAAGCUAGCUAGACUAGCAAUGGUGGCCAUUUUUCUUGACUGAAGAGACAAAUAUAAUACGUUUAGAGUAGUUUGAAGUCUCUUUUACUACUUUUUCUCUAUACUACUAUAUAAGGAUCCUCGCUGGAUCUUUUUCGGGAUCCUGCAAUUGUGUUCAUUCAUCGUAUAUCGUGCGGUUAGUUUUCGUUAGAUACUAUUUAUAUUUGAAUUUUAAAUUUUAAAUGAUUUAUAACCGUACGAUAUACGAUGAACGGACACAAUUAUAGGAUUCCUAGAAUCCCUAGGAAAAGGAUCCAGUGAUGAUCCAUUUCCUUACUAUACACACACACACACAUAAUUGCUCUCACAAUUUUUCGUAUCUUCUCCAUGAAAUUAAGAAAAUCCAUCAACCGGUAUUUUCUUAUAUAAUCUUUUAUUUUAUUUAUUUUUAAGGUCUGCAAUGGUGCCUAACUUUGAAAUUUUGGUGUUUUGAAAUAAAAGUCGAAAGUCAAGAAAAGCUAUCGACAAUACCAAUUAUAAACCCAUACCUAAUCGAACCUAAUACUAACGGUUUUACAAAUUAUAGUAUAAAGCACAUGCGUAGUUUUGUCAUGCAAGUUCGUUGUCCAGAAUACUUACCAGAUAAGACAAAUAAAGGCUGGGAUAUGGCCCGAUAUUUCUCUUAAAUAAUUCAAGAGUCGUAUUUGCUACAAUGCCAGUAUUUGCUUGAUUAGCUACACAUAGAACUGACAUUGUCAAUUGUGACACUCAAAACUCAAAUGUCACUUCCAGACCCUCCCUAUGAAUAUGAUAGCUCUCUACCAACGGGAGAGGACUUAUUUCCCAUGGAUUUGCCACUAUAGCAGUAUUGAAAACAACAACGAGUUAGUUACAUCAAAAGAGAUUUGUCCAUAACAUCAUAUUUCCGCACACCAUUGUAGGUAGUACCGAUGAACUAUUGUUUCCUACACGCAUUGGCAAUUAGCAUUUCAUUUAUGUAUAUCUAACAGGCUAUUAGGAGUGGUGCAUCAUAACUUUAAUUUCCUGGUGUCAUAGUGCAAAAAAAAUUCAAUUUUUUUUAUUAAUACAUUUAGUCGAGCACAUAGUGAGUAUGUUAUCAUCUACCUAUAUUUGUUGAAAGCUUCCAUGUGUGCUACUUGGAUAUUUCGACAACUUGUAAGGUUUGAUAUCGAGGCAUGUCGAGCAUCACUUGUCAAUAUUCACCGAAUUAUGCCAAAGUGGCAUUUCAUCGAGUUGUUUAUAAGCAUUCUCAUCGUGUCUUCAUUUUAUUAUGUCAUACUUAAAAUUUAGUAUAUGAUUCAUUUACUUUUUUAUUCCUUAAGUUGCUAGUUAACACAUGAAUAGAAUGAUACUCAUUCAUUGCAAUAUUAUUCAUUGUAAGUGAGCAUGCCCAAUUCAGUGUUUCCUUUGUGUCUCCUCUCUAAUUUUUGGACACUUUGUCCCUGAAAUUAACCUCCAAAUCAAUGGUGUUAUCAUUUCAAAGACCAACAUAACAAAUAAAAUGAAAUUAAAGAAAAGUAAAAGGAUCUUUUUCUUCUUGGGUUUAACCAACAACCGCAAAACAUCCUUGUAUUUCUUUUCAAGACUUGAUAAUUUACAUCAGAUUUUUUCUGGAGCUACGAAAUAAUUAUUCUUGCAUGGCAUUGUAUUUUAUUUAUUUUUUGGUCGAAAUCUUGCAUGGUAUCUUCACCAAAUCCCAAAAGUUAUUAACGACAAAAAAUGGUGGAUCCCCAAAAGUUAUGACCAAUUUGAUCCAUUCCCACAUUGACUGUCUCCGCUGGUUCAUUUCACGUAAACGUGCCUUUGAAGGUUUACCACCUUUCUCCAUCCAAAUCAUUCAAUCCAUCGCAUUCUUUGCUGCUGUGGUUGUACUACUAGUUGAUCCCUUCAACUAAAAAGCAAACUCUUCCUAAUUAAAUACUAGAAGUAGAAAUUGUCAUGCCAUGCACUGCUUAGUCUUAGUCUUUCGGAUUAGGUUAACCUGUCAUCCAGAAAAUCUCCCCACUUUAUCUUCCUCUAUAUAUAACCCUAUUGUAUUCUCCAUGCAACACCAUAUUCUCAAACGUUGUUAAUUCAAUUACAUUUUGAAUUUGAAACAAUGGCUUUCAGUAAUACUUUUUCUUUGUGUUCCAUAUUGAUAAUUGUCACAGUAGGUGUUCUUGUGGGUUUCACUGGGAGCUCUUCUGCUCAACUCUCUACGAAUUUCUAUUCUAAGAGUUGUCCUAAAGUUUUUGAUACAGUCAAAUCUGUUGUCAAGUCUGCUGUAUCUAAAGAAAAGCGCAUGGGCGCUUCUCUUCUUCGCCUUCACUUUCAUGACUGCUUCGUCAACGUAAUUUCUUUUUAAUAUGUGCUUCUCUCUAUUAUAAUUUUUCUUUAUUAAACACAUUAUCUGUUUAUGUGAUCAUACUAUUAAUUAAAAAGUUGGAUAAUGUUGAUCACAUAUCAUCUAGUAUGGAUGCCGUGGUGGUUAAGAUAAAGAGAACAUGAAGGGAAAGAUUGAUUUCAUUGAGAUUUGGAAUGAGUGAAUAGUGUUUACAAGGCAAUACAUGAAUUGAUUUCCCUGUUUACAACUCUGUAGAGGGAAUACAUGAAUCUCUUCCAUUAUCAACCAUAAUAGAAUUGAUAACACCUCUUAUAGUUUCUAACAUCACUACUAAUGAUGACCUCUAAUUUGAUGACACUGACCAUAUGUUUUAUACUUCUCAUUAGUGUUUGAGUACAUUUUUGCUCUCCUUUAAGUGAUCGUAAUGCACCCCAUUGUAUUUAUUAACGUUGGAUGAAUUUAAAUUUUGAGAUUUGUGUCUAUCCACUACAUAGAUUUUAAAAUUUAAAUUCAUCUAACGGUGAUAAAUAGGGUGGUGAAAAAAGAUUUUCCUUAGUGUUCAGGUAAUUUUCUAGUUGUACAUUAACUAUGUUGCAGUCCAGAUGUUGUUAUAAUUUUUUUUUUCCAGUUACUUUCUAUCCAUGUUUCUUAUGGUAAAACCUCAAUUUCUUCACUUUCAAACCAAAUAAUAAAAGUCAAUAUAUAUUAGUGGAUAUUGUUAUUAAUUACUAAUACUAAUCAUAUGUUGUUGAAUUCAUGCAUCAUACCAGGGUUGUGAUGGAUCUCUAUUACUGGACGACACUUCUUCCUUCACCGGUGAGAAGACUGCAGGCCCGAAUAACAACUCGGUAAGAGGGUUUGAGGUUGUGGACAAGAUCAAGUCCCAAGUGGAAAAGGCAUGCCCCGGCGUCGUUUCCUGUGCUGAUAUCUUAGCUAUUGCUUCUCGAGACUCCGUUCAAAUUGUGAGUAACAAAACUACAUGAUUUAAGUAACUAUGUGCUAGGUUUAGGGAGAUUUUAAUCGUCUAAGUUAAGUAUAAAUUUAACGGUUUUUAUUUUAUUUUACUGCAGCUUGGAGGACCAAGUUGGGAGGUUAAACUUGGAAGAAGGGAUUCAAAGACAGCUAGCCUAUCGGCUGCCAAUAGUGGAGUCAUCCCUCCUCCUACUGCCACCCUCAACGAGCUCGUCACCAGGUUCCGAGCUGUAGGUCUCUCUCAAAGGGACUUGGUAGCCUUAUCUGGUAAAUUUCAGCUUCCUUUUAACUAUGUACAUCUUUUGCUGGCUCUUUUGUCAUUUCAUUGGUCAACCGGGAGGGCAAAUUUGAAAUUAAAAUCCCUUCCAACAUUAUUGAAAAGAAGAAUACCACUAAAAUAAGAGCUGUUGGUAGCUGUCUCUUCAAUGUACGAAAUAAAAGAGGACAAAAAAAAUAUCAUAUCAAAGCCCUUUGGUUUUGGUCGGUUAAUUACCAUUGCGGAUUUGAACCCCCGGUUAGUUUAACAAGGAUUCGGUUUUGAAAUGAGAAAAGAACCUUAAAAAAUGGAAGGAUCUUCGUUUUGAUUCAUCUAUAAGCUAGAUAAAAACAAAAUGGAUGAUGACUUAAUGAAAUGUUAUCUUGCCAGAUGAAUAACAGGUACUCAUAUUAUUAGACAGUCAAUUUGAGAUAUCGAUGGAAUGAGCUCUAUUUGAAUGUGUGGUGCUAGAUGGAAAAUUUGACAGCAUAUGUAACACCAACAAUAUCGAUUAGAUGUGCUCCUUUUGAUUUCUCAAUUAAAUGUAUUUGCUUUUACAUGAUAUGGCAGGAGCUCACACAAUUGGACAAGCAAGGUGUACAACUUUCAGAGCUCGCGUAUACAACGAGACCAACAUUGAUGCUUCAUUUGCCAGGACCAGACAAAACACAUGUCCAAGAACAGUUGGCUCCGGAGACAACAACCUUGCACCUUUAGACGUUACGACCCCAAAUACCUUCGACACUGCCUACUUCAAGAACCUUGUCAACCGAAAGGGUCUCCUCCACAGUGAUCAAAUUUUGUUUAACGGCGGAGCCACCGAUUCAUUGGUUAAAUCCUACAGCGGCAAUGCUGAAACCUUCAAUGCUGACUUUGCCAAGGCAAUGAUCAAGAUGGGAGAUAACAAGCCACUUACUGGAUCUAAGGGCGAGAUUAGAUUGAACUGCAGGAAGCCUAAUUAAUUUAGAAAAGGACCUUUCUCUCUGAUAAGAAUAAACCAAAAAUCCCAGAAGCUGGGAGAAAUAUAAUUUUGGGUUAUAUAUAGUUUGUUUUGCUAAUGAAGGUUUUGUUUGUUAAGUGAGGGUUUAUUAGGUAUUUUGUUAUUAUUUCAACAAGUAAAGUAUGUUUUAGUUUCAAAGAAUUGAAAUUAUAGGCGUUGAAAUACCAAUUAUUAAUUGUUGAUGGAUUGUUUACUUUCAAUUGAACAAAGUGAAUGGUGAUGAUCAAUCAAUUUCCAAUUUCCAAUUUCCUGGUGUUUUUUUAUGAUGAAAUCGUCAAUCUAAUAUCUUAAAGUCACAAGCAUUUGUUGCUACAAACAUUACAAUAUAGUGGUAUCUCUACACUCUCAACAGUAAAUUUCGGAUUCACCUUUUGUAAAUACCGAAUUUACUAGCUCAUUGACUUUGCUCAAAUCCAAAUAAAAUUACACCAAUUUGGCCCAACUUUACAGGGCCUCAUUUCAUUAUUGCUUGGCAUGCCAAAGCCCACUAGAUAUGUGGUGACCUGGUUUGGCAACUGCAACUCUGUAUGUUGUACCAAACGUUAUAAUUUUUUAAGUAUACGAGAUACCGCCACUUCGUAUUAUCCCUUCACUUAUAUUAUAACAUAUAUGUUUGAUUUUUAUUAAUAAAAGGGAACACAUAAUUUUAUUUUUCAAAAAACAUAAGUAGAAUAAACAUUGUAGAAUUUGAGUUUAUUUUAGAAGCUGCUCUUUAAGGCUUCAAGCUCCAACAAAAGUUUCCUUAAUGUCAUUUUAUUUACAUACUCGAUCACUGGAGAUGUUUCUUCCCAUGUUCCUCGUAAUGGGAAACAAUGUAGCUCAUUGCCUUAUGUUUGUAUCAUACUUAGGACAUCCGUAUUUAGAUCUCGUAUAAAUACUCAGGGGACUCAAAUGUAAUUAUGUAAUAAAGGAAGGGGCAAAUAUGUAAUAAGUGAGGAGCCCUUAUUCUAUAAAAGGACUCCUCACCCUCACAAUAGGGGGAGGCCAUUUCUUAAGCCUUCUCAUCCCUCUCACAUCCCCUCUCAUAUUCAGAGGUUUUCUCCCUCACCUUUCACAUAAAUACAACAUCAGUGUGGACGUAGCCCAAACCUUGGGGUAAACCACGAUACAUCUUGUGUUAUUUACAUUUCUUGCAGAUUCAUAGUCGGAUUUACGUUGUUCCAAGACCUCCGGUUUUGUGCAUCAACAUUUGGCGCCGUCUGUGGGAAUCGAUACAAAAAGUUGUGUCGAUUCUUUUUCAUUUUUUCACCUCCAUCGUGAAUAUGCAGAAACCCCCACCAAAACACAGCAUAGCUCAGCAGGCUGCUACAAAAUGAGAUUGCCCAAAAUGAUCUCCUCCGUCACCUCCUCCUCGUCCUGCCAGACGACGACGUGUCGCACUCCUCUCCAACCAAUCGUUAAUACCAUCACCAUCACCCAGAGGAAUUUCAUCUCCCUUACCAAAUCAUCAUCAUUUCCCCUCAAACAUUCAAUCUCCAUGAACAAGCAAUAUCUUUCUACCAUUUCUAACUCCAUAUUAGACAACGGAACAUCCCUUGAUCCUCCAAAUCCAGACAAAGAUCGCUCAGAAUUCUGACGUGAGCAACCUUUUUGCCUCGUCGCCUUCGUCUUCUCUGGAAACUACAUCUGGGUUCAGAUUCUCUUCCAGCACCCCAAAAUUGAUCAGGCCGAGCUCGUCUAGCACCGUUAUCUCACUGACCACACCUCGAGAUGCGGCCACCAUGUCCUCUGUUUCGAGGAGCCUCCUUGUCGACAAUCAACGACUGGCAGCAGCCCACGUCAAUUUCAAGCAGAAGAAAGCAGAAGCUUCUGCUUCUUAGAGUAACAAAACGACGCUGCUUGCCUCCGUGUUUCCCAUCACCGAACAAAAUGUCCCAAGAUAUCUACUCUGAGCGCCCCUUGUUCGGUGAUGUCAUCACUAGCACAUUCUUUCUCAGAUUCGAGGAUGUGAGUAACAUUCGACAAGUUCCCGAUCACCAGGAGACUUUUGUGGACCCUACCGGGGAUGAAAGCUUGACCUUUGAGCUUUUGGAAUUGAAGCAUGCAGUCGGCGACAAUGGAAGUGCCAACUGGUUUCUUCAGGACAUUGCCACUGAGCAAGAUGCUGACGGAAGCAUGGUGAUCGAGCAGUCUGGCGUAAUUAAGGCCCCCAGAUUGUGUUAUAGAAACACACAUGCUGUUGUUACGACUAUUGUUGGCCAAAUGGAGGCUCUAGCGCGAGCGCCGAACUGAUGUCGGCUCAGAAGCCGCCGCUGACUGCCGAUAACUGAAAGCGGGAAGGGAGGAGAUUCUCAGACUAAGAAAGCAGCAGCAGCAAUGUGUGUUGGAAUAGGAAGCUUAUGCGAUCCUUUUGGAGCAUAGGGGCUUGCGCAUUUUCUAAAACACAUGCUCUUCAUGGGGAGUACAGAGUUUCCAGAUGAUAAUGCGUAUGAAAAUUACUUGUCCAAGCAUGGAGGUUCAUCAAAUGCAUACACAGAAGCAGAGCAUACCUGGUACCAUUUUGAAGUGAAGCCAGAGUUUCUUAUGGGUGCCUUGAGAAGAUUUUCCCAGUUCUUUGUUUCACCUCUAGUGAAAAUUAAAGCGAUGGAGCGAGAGGUACAUGCUAUAGAUUCAGUUAUGCACAAUACUAACAACACCCUAGUAUUGGGCAAUACCAGCAAAGCCCCAGCGUGGGACAAUGUCAGACAAAUUCAGAUGCUUUUUCAAAAUACCAUAGUGGAUUCUCCCAUGGGAAGUGAUUGGAAAAGCAUUAAAGAGAAGAAGAUAUAUAUAUAUUAUCUCCACUGCAAUUAUCUGCUGCAACUAUGCAAAGCUUGCAUGUGCCCAUAUUCGAACAACAUGCCAUUAUAUGCCGUACAGGCAGGCAGGUGGGACCAACUUGUAUUCAAACAGCAGAAAAAAGAAAAAGGAGGAGGCAUAUAUACCAAAGCUGCUUAUGUCGGUGCAGAUCUUGUCGGCAAGGUUGAAAGAAAUAUUCCUGAGGAUGACCCAAGAAACCCAGCUGUGAUAGCUGAUAAUUGCCUGCGCACUUCCUCAACCAAUACGGAAACGUUGUCUGCCAUUUUCCAAAAGGGAAAAGAGAAAGCAAAAACAAGGAAUAAACACCCCACCAAAAUGAUGUGAUUUACUUUUCUUGUUUUUGUAUGAUGAGAUUUAUUUUUUUUAUUCGGAGACAUCUAUAUAAACCCCAUCAGAAGGUAAUAAUAAAAAUAAAAAUAAAAAUAAAACAAAACAGCAAGCUCAAAAUAAAGGGGCUGAAAUGUUGUGUGGAGAGCGAAGGCCCAUAAGCCCAAAAUAGCACCAACCAGGCUACCAAAAGUACGCCCAGUACUACAAAAAUUAUUCAGCACCCCGUCGCUAUUAUCACCAACCAGGUGAUCAAAAGUAAGCCCAGUACUUCAAAUUAUACAUGAGCAUUACUCAUGUCAAUCAUACAUAAACAUUCAUGAGCAUUACUCAUGUCAAUCAUAAACAUUCAUGAGCAUCACUUAUAUCAAUCAUACAUAAACAUUCAUGAGCAUCACUCAUGUCAACAUCCAUGAGCAUCACUCAUGUCAAUCAACAUAAACAUUCAUGAGCAUUACUCAUGUCAAUCAGCUUCAAAAGCUUCAUUUACAAAAGCUCUAGCUUUAAAAGCUUCAUUUACAGAGCUCUAGCUUCAAAAACUUCAUUUACAAAAGCUCUAGCUUCAAAAGUUUCAUUUACAGAGCUCUAGCUUCAAAAGCUUCAUUUACAAAAGCUCUAGCUUCAAAAGCUUUAUUUAUAGAGCUCUAGCUUCAAAAGUUACAAAAGCUCUAGCUUCAAAAGCUUCAUUUACAGAGCUCUAGCUUCAAAAGCUUCAGUUACAAAAGCUCUAGCUUCAAAAGCUUCAUUUACAGAGCUACAGCUUCAAAGCUUCAUUUACAAAAGCUCUAACUUUAAAAGCCUCAUUUACAGAGCUACAGCUUCAAAAGUUUCAUGUACAAAAGCUCUAGCUUCAAAAGCUUCAUUUACAGAGCUCUAGCUUUAAAAGUUUCACUUGUAAAGCUUCACCUACAAAGCCUCAGUGCAGGGUAUACAAAUACCGAAUCCGAACAACCGCCACUUCGGCCUAUACAUGGAUUCAAUUUGAAGUCUUCAGCCAACAGACUCUAUUGACCGAAGACUUGGAGGACUACAUUAUGUACCUUAUAUAUUGGGCCUCAACUGGGCCUCAUGGAAAAUACUUGGGGGACUCUAGCCCAUCACUUAUGUAUUGAGGAGCGAGCACUUAUUCUAUAAAAUAGACUCCCUCACUUUCAUUAGAGAGCAUCCAUUAGUCAUGUACUGAGGAGCGAGCCCUUAUUCUAUAAAAGGGACUCCCACACCAUCAUUAGAGAGCAUCAACUCUAGCCCAUCAUUCAUGUAUUGAGGAUCGAGCUCUUAUUCUAUAAAAAGGACUCCCUCACCUUCACUGCCACAAGCCGAGCCAACCAAGGCAACAUAAGCCACGAGCCGAGCAGCCUCGCAGCAUGUGCUCUUUCUAGUUGAGCAUCAUUACAGAUCGGGCACCGCCGCAUACCGAGCAUUAGUUCAAGACGACAUCUAGUUACUUCGGCCCACACAUGGACUGAAUUUCAAGUCUUCAGCCAAAAGACUAGUUACUUCGGCCCACAUAUAGACUGAAUUUCAAGUCUCCAGCCAAAAGACUUUCUUGACUGAAGACUUGGGGGACUACUGUUUGUACCAUACAUAAGGCCUCCGUAUUUAGAUCUCGUAUAAAUACUCGGAGGACUCAAAUGUAAUUAUGUAAUAAAGGAGGAGGCAAAUAUGUAAUAAGUGAGGAUCCCUUAUUCUAUAAAAGGACUCCUCACCCUCACAAUAGGGGGAGGCCAUUUCUUAAGCCUUCUUAUCCUCUCACAUCCCCUCUCAUAUUCAGAGGUUAUCUCCCUUACCUCUCAGAUAAAUACAACAUCAGUGUGGACGUAGCCCAAACCUUAGGGUGAACCACGAUACAUCUUGUGUUAUUUACAUUUCUUGCAGAUUCACGGUCGGAUUUAUGUUGUUCCAAGACCUCUGAUUUUGUGCAUCAACACCUUACUAAACUGGCCAUUUACUCUUGUGGAGUUUGUACUUGGUUUAAAGAACCUUCUGAUGUUAACAGUAGCGGAUUUAGAAAUUCUUUCAUGGGUGGUGAAAUAUUAAACAUUAUAAGUUAUUUUAGACAACAAAGCUUUAUUGGAACUUUGAAAUUUGGGGUUUAGGUUGAACGAUACAAGUAUGCAUGAUGUAGUAUUUUUCACUAAGUUGUCAUGUUGGUGGGUGAGUCUUAGCAAUGCUGGCACUAGAAAAAUUGGGAGAGGAAGUUGUGAUGGAGAAAUUUAAGUGACGAAGUGGUUGAAUUUGUGUACACAACAUUGUUCAGGUUUUCUUGUCAAAUUACGACACUAAUUACACAUAACAAUCUCAACGUUUCUUGACAAAAUACAAUUUAGAUAUAACCAUUCUUUUAUAAAUCCUCUUCCAAAUAUCAUCAACAAAGGACAGAUUAUAUUAUAUUCAAUAGAAUAGAGAAGAUAAAUUUCACAUAAAACAAAAAGGAAGGAGAGAAAAUUGCAUUUUUAAUCGAAGUUUAUGUCGAGUCUUUGACUAGGCCUUGGUUGAAGAUGGCUUCCUCUUCAGAAAUUACAAAAGCUACUUGUGAAUAAACCUGAAAAUAUGGCCUCAUCUUCCAUCCCUACACUACAUACUUGUUUUAUGUGGGCAUUCACACCUAUUUCACAACAGCAUUGAAGGUUCAUGUGUUUAAAAGAAAAAGAAGGAAAAAAAAAAAAAGUGACCAAAACGAGCUAUUUUGGUCUAGGUUUUAAAAACCAGAACACGAGGCUUUCUUCUUCCUUGGCUGAAGCAUGCAAUGCUGCCAUGGGCAGCCCCCUUGCCGCCAUGCCUUCCCCAGCUGUUAGGUGGGCAAAAUUCGGGCAGUAGGGAGAAAUUUUGAGGUAUGGGUGGGCAGCUUCCUACCCUUGCCAUACCAUGGAUCCGCCACUGGAUGAGAUGUCAUUAGGCCAUCUCUAACCGAAGGGUCCAAAGGGCCAGAGGGCCAAAAAUAGCCCUAAAACCGUCUCCAACCGAGGGCUAGGCCAGAGGGCUCUGGAAUCUGGGAGGGCCCCACGGGAUCAGAGAGGGCUGGAGGGCUGGCUGCUUUCGGCCAGCCAGCUAGCCCCGGGCUGGCUAUUUUUUUUUUAUAGUUUUGUUAUUCCUGUCGGUUAUAACCGACAAUAAUACAUACUAUUAUUUAAUAUACUAAAUAAUGGUGUAUUCCUGUCGGUUAUAAUCGACAAGAUUGUUUUAAAAAAAAAUCAAAUGAAACGGCUACUAGCCGUUGCAUUUGAUUUAAUUUUUUUUUUACAUUAUUAUUAUUUUUUUUUAUUUACAAAAUUUUUCAUAUAACUUCUAUUUUUUCCUAUAACUUCUAUUUCACAAAAUUUGGUUUUUUUUUAAAUUCCAUUUUUUUCCUAUAACUUCUAUUUCACAAAAUUUGUUUCAUAUUUUUUUUUCCCUAUAACUUCUAUUUCACAAAAUUUAUUUCAUAUAUUUUUUUUUAAAUUCCAUUUUUUUCCUAUAACUUCUAUUUCACAAAAUUUACUUCAUAUUGUUUUUUAAAUUCCAUUUUUUUCCUAUAACUUCUAUUUCACAAAAUUUGUUUCAUAUUUUUUUUUAAAUUCCAUUUUUUUUUCCUAUAACUUCUAUUUGACAAAAUUUGUUUCAUAUUUUUUUUAAAUUCUAUUUUUUUCCUAUAACUUCCUAAGCCAUUAUACAACAUUAAAUUAAAUUAAGUAACAUGAAACAACAUUAAACAAUAUGAAACAACAUUAAAUAAAAUUAACCAACAUAAAAAUUAAACAACAUGAAACUUAAACAACAUUUUAGUUGUAGUUUUUAAAUAAUAAAUUAUGUUUGGCCCUAUGGCCCUUUGGCCCUCGGUUGGAGACCGUUUUUUGUGAUAGGGCUAAAACGAGCCCUCUGGCCCUCUGGCCCUCGAUUGGAGAUGGAGGCAAAUAUGGUCAUGUACUGUUCAUUAAAAUAUUAAUAUCUUGGAGAAUCUUGGAGGGCUAGAGGGCUAAAACGAGCCAUCUGGCCAGCCCUCGGUUAGAGAUGGCCUUAGUGAUUUGUUGUUAAGAAGUGAUUCCUUUGUUGUAAUUUGUUGCCGUUUUUUGCUUUGAAAUGAAAUAAUGCCACCUUUGAUUGAAAAGAAAGUAGGGACAUCUGUGAAAUGUGAUUAGUAUUUUUGUUUAAUGUCAAAAUGGUCCUGUGUUUUAUCGUGUUGGCCCAUUUAAAAUAUUUAAGAAAAAUAAAAAAACUGUACAAAAUAUUAGGGUGAGACUGAGACCCAUUCUUUCCUCCCCAGCCGUCUCCCCCACCUCCUCCCCCACCUCCUCCCCCACCAAACCCUAAUUCUUUUUACAUAAAGAUGAAUAAAUGGGAAUAAUUGAGGACAAACGAUGAGACUCGCGCAUCGCUAGUAUGGUCUACAGAAGGGGUGGCGGUCGGGUGUGUAUGGCAGUUGGCGUGUCGUUGAGAGUCAAGGAGGGAGGGGGAUGACAUUGUCGGUUUAAUCAAUUUUGUUCAAGUUCAUUUCUUUUUCCUUUAAUCUUAUUUUUCAUUUCUAAAUUAUAUUUCUUUAUUUUUAACUUAUUUCUUUAAUAAUUAAAAAAAACAUUUAUGAUUAUAAAAAAAACAUGCAUAAUUUUUUAAACUAUGAAUGGUUGUAAUGUCCUGAAUUAGCUAAUGGAGGUAAAGACGAGAAUCAAAUUGACCACAACGAAAAUACGGGACUAAAUUGAUCAAAUGACUAGAACAUAGAGACUAUUUUAACAUUUAAUCCUAGUUUGUUUUUUAUGUACUUGUUGAUUCUAUUGGUCGAUUAGCCCAUGUGAAAGCUUUAUUAGCAUAAACUGCAUGUUUCAAACUGCCCACAUGUCUUGAGGAAGAAAUUGUGAAUGCACGUGGGCUUAGUAACUUCUGCAACAUGGUUUCUUAUCAAAUUUUGUGUGAUUAAAAUAUUUAGUAGCUCCUGAUCUCAUUUUUAACUUAUUUGUAUCGGAUCAGGAUCCUCUCCUGAGCUAAGGAUGAGGAUCCUUCUGACCAAGGCGUGUGGGCCGUUGGAUGAAAAUCUAACGGCUAUAAUUAUUAUAACUUUAAAGGAACCUUCCUGUUUGUAGCCGUUGGAUUUUCAUCCAACGGCUCACACUCCUUGGUCAGAAUAAUCCUCAUCCUUAGCUCAGGAGAGGAUCCUGAUCCAUUUGUAUCUAGGAACCUCACAAAAGAUCGAUGUUCACAUCCAACUAAUUAGAAGUAGUCAAAGCUAUAUAAAUGCCGCAUUUUAAUCAGCACAAUUAUUUAUUCUGUCGCUGUUGAAGGAAAUGUGAAUGUGAUUAUUUUAUUAAUUGGUACUGUAGUUGCUUAAAUUAAUUAGCUUGAACAUAUAUAGUUGCCCUCUUGUUGGGGAAAAAGAAGUAACAAUUUGAUGAUCAUGUCCAUAAUUUCAUAUAUUGAUCGAUGCGAGUAGGAUUGUAAAUGAGUUGAGUCAGUUUAAAUUUGGUUUGUUUAAUUUUAUUUUGAGCUUCACCUAAACUUGGCUUGCUUUUUAAUUAUAUGAGCAGAGCUCAAACGAGCUUGAAAAAUUCAAGCUCGAUGCACAAACUCAAGUUGUUUUGAGUAUAUGCUAUAAUGUUUGGUCCGCUUUUAAAACAAAAAUUUGUAAGUAGAUUUCGUGCUAGAGUAUAUUCAACAUAAACAAUAUAAUAACACAAAUCUUCAAACAUAAUACUUUAAAUAAUCACAUAAACGUUCUUUUCCUUUUUAUGAUUGAAAGGCUAGGGGAGUUUAUGCAUACGCAUGAAUUAGGUUAUGUAGAAACAAAAGAAAAUAGGCUACAUUAUAUCAUUCUCCAUCUGAUAAAAAUUCAAAUGCGAAGAUAGUCAAUCUAAACUUUGAAAAAAAACGUAAACAUGAUUCUUUAAAAGAAAAAUCACAAGCACGAUCUUUUUGUUCUAAGCAAACUUCUUCGAUAGAAUCUAGUUCGAUUUGCCUUAGAAAAAAGAUGAUGAACUGCUCACAAAUUUUACAAGCCAAAUAUACCAAUGUUCAAACCCUUUUUUUUUUUAACAAAUAAUAUUAUCUACACUAAGGAAGGGGGUGGGCUUAGCCUCAUAAUGAGCUAGCAAUAACGUGAUUUAAAUUCGUAUUUUGAGAGAAUCAAACCUAAGACCUUUCACUUACAAGUGAGGAGGAGUACCACUAGACCGUAGUACUACGUGGCACCAAUGUUCAAACUUGAUUUAAUUGUUUCUUACUGGAGCUGCAUUUAGACUUGAUUUAUUCAUAAACCAAGUUUCGACGAGUCAAACACAUGCCGAAUUAUUACAAACUCAAGGUAUUUUGAGCCGAUUAACUGCCCUAGCAAUGCAACCUAUGAAUGAGAAUCUAAAUUCGAUCAAAACUCUCUAGAUUUCUGCCAAUAUUGUUGAAUCUCUAAUAUUGUGUCUUUUCCCAUAUUUAAUUUUUAAUUUGUUUGCAUAUUAUAAUACAUGUUUUGAUGCCUCUCCCACAUGAUCAGUUUAAGUUCCACACGCCAAGGAAACUUCAAUUCUUAAUAUAUGUACAACGUGUAGGCAUUAUCAUAAUUUUAUUGGUAUGCAUCACCCAAAUCUUAUUUAAGGGAAAGGGACAUCAUAUCUCUCUUUUAUUUCUUAUUGUUUGAGGCUGACCAGAACACUCCGAGGCAUGUCAAUACCUCCAUAAUGUUACAAAAGUGGUCUGCAGCAUGCCACAGAUGUAAACCUUGAAUGAGUAUAAAUUUGUGUCGUAGAAAGCAAUGGGAAGCUUUAGACGAAUAUCAAGGAAGAAAAUAUAAAGAGUACAUAUCAUGUAAAUUUGGGUUUUGUCGGUCAAGUAUCAAACUUAAUUUACAUGGGGAUUCAAAAGCCCUAAAUACCUUUUGCCUCCCUCGAAUAACAUGUUAGGUUUCAGGUUCAUCUUUCACUGGCACAGACUAACAUGCCUAUGCUAUUUACUAUGUAGACCUUGCUAGCUAAUUAAGGUUAAAGUCAAAGCCCGCGUAUUCCCCACACGUGCAAUAGACAACUUCUUCCAGAUUGUCUGCGCCUGCCAACCCUACUGGGAAAUACAUAACUACCAAACCCCCAUUACAAUUCUAAUACUUCUGGUUGUCUAGUUUCAGAUAUUGCUACUGCAUUUUAGAUUUCACAAUCUGUUGUACCGGUUCUUCCAAAAGAGAAAGCAUAUUGGUCCGGUCAUGCACGGAGCUUUUACAGAAACCCUAAUUGACAUUGGCCAAGUUCAGAUAGAACAGAAUACGUGUAUGUAUAUAUACACACACACACACACAUAUAUAUAUGAGUAUAUUGAAUGAGGCUAAAUAUUUAGAGGCAAAAAACCCUAGUGAAAAACAAACCUUGUUAAUUAAGGCAUAUUGAAAGAGGUAAAUUAGAAAACUUGGGAGUACUACUCACAACAGGUUGGGGAUUGGAGUAAUCUGUUACCCCUUUUUGUAAUUAGACAGCAAGUUUGUUUUUUUUAAUUAACUUUUUUUGUAAUUUUCAUGUGUGACUUCUCAAUCGUAAAGAAAGGGAUAAAGCAAAAUUUAUACUGAUCUAUCAAACAUGAUAAUUCCUACGAAGCAAUAGAAAUCAAACAGAGAAAAAGGGACUAAUUGAUUAGCAGUAACACUUUAUAUCGCUUUAAUCGAAAUACGGAAUAUUUUCGCUUGACAUGGAGCUAUAGCCCAUCGUGUUUGUAGAUGGAUUGUAUACAGAAGAAGCUGAAGAUGAAGAUGACGAAGAAAAGACAACUGAAGACUGAGCUGAUGCUGGUGGUAGUGGCGGCGGCGGUGGUGGUGAAAUCGCUUGUGGUUGCGCAGCAAGGGACACCAUCCCAGAACUAGAAACCAAAGCAGAAUGGUGAAUAAUACCCCUAGGAGAAACGACACUGCGACUAGCGGCCUCUUUGUAUUUAUAUCUCAAUAUUUCGGUCCUUACUGCAUUGAGUUCAGCUUGUAGAGAUUGAAUUUGUUGGUGCAAGGCUAAAAUUACACCCAUGCACCCAUACACAGGGUCUCUCAGCCUCAGAUUUGCCUCAUAAACUAGACUAUUGGCUGCAUCAGCUCUUUGAUUCUCAGCCACCUCCUAUAAAUACAUAAAAAAAAUAAAACAAAAAUGAAGUAAUGCAUAGUAACAUUAGAAUGCUUGUUCCUAAGAAAUUUAAUAGUACCAUUAGCAUCUUGGAAACAUUGCUUGCACCAAAGACUUUGUGGACGGCUGAAAACUUUUGGGGUUCAUGCGGAGAGAAGUAGGGAGAGAAAGGGCACUCUUCAGCACAUCUUCUUCUCAAGAGCUUACAUGCAGCACAAGGUGUGAUUGUGUUCAAAGUUGUUGUACUCAUCAUCAUCAUCCCUUGAUGAGGAACACCAAAUGAUGAUGACGAUGAUGACGAAAUUCGAGUAGUGCUCAUGAUCCCCAUUUGAUCAUCAACAGAUGCAUCACUUUCUCUCCUGAUCUUCUUUCCUGUCUCAUCCAAUGUUGUGAUCUCCCUAUAAAACAACAAGAAAAUUAGUUAGGUGAAAUCCAUUUAAGGAUUUGAAAAGUAAAAAGGAACAACAAAAAUAAAAAGAAUAUUUUUAAGUACCUGUUUGUGGACAUAUAUUCAGCUACUGUCUGGAUGAAGUUGGGAACAAAGAAAGGAGAAGGAGAAGGAGAAAGAAAAUAAAGUUUGAGAAUGGGGGAAGAUAGUGCUUAUAAGCCAAGGCAAGUUGGGAAGUACAGUAUGUCAAUGUUUAAUCGUAAGAAAUCAACAAAAGGCCGCUAUGAGAAAAAUGGCCGAAGAAAUCUGAUAUUAUAUUCUCCGGGUCGGUGAUAUGAUAGCAUCCAAAGGGUUUGGUAAUGAUUUUAUUUUAUUUUUCCUCUAUUGUCGUAAGAGUAAGGGCCUGUAUGAGAUUGUUGUGCUUUUUUAAAAACUACUUCUGCCAUGCUUUAAGAAUUAUCAGUUGUAAAAUAAAACUGAUAAGCGUUUGGUUAACUAAAGUUUAAAAGUGAUGUGAGUAUGAAAAGCAGCACAAAAACGUUUGGUAAAAUUUAAUGUAAAAGUGAUAUAAUUGUAUACAAUGAUAGAUGGACAUAGUAGUAACAGUGGGGGUGUUGACAUCUAUGGUGGUGGUGGUUACGGUGGAGGUGGUCGUGGUGCUAAUAGUGUGAUGUGUUGGUUGGGGUGGAAAGGUAACAAUGAUGGUAUGGCGGUAACAGUGGUGGUGGUGGUGGUUAUGGUGGUAUCGGCGGUGGAGCAAUGAUGCUGGUAAUGAUAGUUAUGGUUGUGAUGGCAAUGGUAGCGGUUGCGGUAAUGGUGGUGGUAGUGGCGAUGGUGGCAUCGAUAGUGAUAGUAGGGGCGGUGGCAAUGGUGGCAGUGGCGGUAGUGAUGGUGGUGACAAUGAUGGUAGCGAAAAAUUUUGUAUUUGGGUUGCAUAAGUGUUCAGCGAGAAAAAUAUUUCUCGCAGACGGCCCAAGUUUGUGAAACUUAAUAUCUUUCUAAGUGUUAUAAGAAGUAAGAACAAUAUAGUGUUAUAAGGAUGAUCGAAUGCAUUCAUCGUACUCUUAUAUGGUUGAGGAGUGUGUUUGUAAAAAUCAAGGUUCUAAAAAACGCUAGGCGCUAGUCGGGCGGCCGGCUGGUGCCUAGCGCCUAGGCAGCUAGGCGGGGUCUAGGCGAGCACCUAGGUGGCCUAGGCGGAUUUAGGUAAAUUUCUUGUAUAUCUUGUAAAUAAGUGCAUAUUAACAUUUACAAAAAAUAUUCUUGUAUAUCUUGGAAUAAAUAUAUUAUAUACCAUAUAAAUUAGUUAAAUUUAUUUUAUGGUAGAUGAUUAAAUAUUGAGGAAGACAUUAUUUAAAAAAUAUAUACAUAUCUAACAUAAGAGUAUAAUAUAAGCUGAUCUUAUUUUGAUCAUAAAAAGAAAAAUAAUAAAAUAAUAUAAUGCAAGAGUGUAAUAUAGACUUUAAAGAGAUAAAGAUGUCAAAUAUGUGGGUGUAGAAUGCAAAGUGGGAUAUUGGACACAUAGAGAUGGGGAGCUACACCAAUACUUAAUAGCAAAAGUACACCCAGGGACUCACAUCCCAUGUUUUUUUAUGAGAACAAUAAAUAGCUAGGUAUUGACGGCUCAUUUUUUUUUCUUGAAAACAUCAUCUUGAUGCUAGCUAUCCAAAUGUGAUUGGACAAAAUUAAAAAAUUAAUUAAAUAGAAAACUUUGAUAGUGGUCACGUGAAUGAAAGGAAGAGAGAAACUUAAUUUCUCAUCUUCUUCCAUUUUCGUCUUCGCAAGAACACAGAACCAGCAACCCAGAAAGUUUAGAACGCACUGCAUUCAUCCUUUCUCAAGCUUGAAAAUAGAAAAAAAUUGAGAUUCCAGACCGCCUAGGCCAACCAGUCAGUCGCCUAGGCCGCCCAAGGGGCACCCAGGCUGCCUUGACGCCCGCCUAAUCCCUUUGCCGAUUUUCCUUCCGAUCAAGAGUUAAUCUCGGCGGCUGACCACCGCCCAGCGCCUAGGCCGAUUUUUAGAACACUGGUAAAAACUCAUCAAAAUCGGAGUUAAAAUAACCGUUAAAUCAUGAGUUUUCAUUUAUAAUCGUCGAAAGGUUUCGUCCCGUUACCUAAUAUCUGAAUGUCAGUUUUUUGCGAUUUUUUGCAUAUGCGAUCUUGGAGCAUAUGCAAACAAGUUUGACAAUUGGAUCGUUGAAACUAGUUUUGUAGAAUGUGUAUUCCGUCAAAACGAUAGAUUCAACAAACACUUGGAGUUUAUUUUAUACUUCCAUUAAAUAGAACAUAAUAUUUUGUGGUAUCCAUCAAUGCAAAUAUUUUAAAUUAAAGAUCAAAUUUGUUCAUAGUAUUCUUAUAUGGUUGAGGAGUGUAUUUGUAAAAAAUCAUCAAAAUCGGAGUUAAAAUAACCGUUAAAUCGUGAGUUUUCUUUUAUAACCGUCGAAUAGUUUCGUCCCGUUACGUAAUAUCUAAAUGUCAUUUUUUUGUGAUUUUUUACGUAUGCAAUAUUGUAGCAUAUACAAACAAGUUUGACGGUUGGAUCGUUGAAAUUAGUUUUGUAGAAUGUGUAUUCCGUCAAAACGAUAGAUUCAACAAACACUUGGAGUUUAUUUUAUACUUCCAUUAAGUAAGACAUAAUAUUUUGUGGUAUCCAUUAGUGCAAAUAUUUUAAAUUGAAGAUCAAAUUUGUUCAUCGUAUUCUUUUAUGGUCGAGGAAUGUAUUUGUAAAAAAUCAUCAAAAUCAUAGUUAAAAUUACCGUUAAAUCAUGAGGUUUCGUUUAUAACUGUCAAAAGGUUUCAUCCUGUUACCUAAUAUAUGAAAAUCAGUUUUUUGCAAUUUUUUACAUAUGCAAUCUUGGAGCAUAUACAAAUAUGUUUGAUAGUUUGAUCGUUGAAACUAGUUUUGUAGAAUGUGUAUUCCUUCAAAACGAUAGAUUCAGCAAACAUUUGGAGUCACACCUACAGUGAGGACAAUGGAUUCUUGUUGUAGCAUUCCCGCUAUAAUUUCCCAAAAGUUUCAAAUAGGGCGCCUUUUAUUCACACCUACAAGGAGAAAUGUUGUAUUUGGGUCGCAUAAGUGUUCAGCGAGAAAAAUAUUUCUCGCAAAAGGCCCAAGUUUGUAAAACUCAAUACUUUUCUCUUUGUUAUACGGAGUCGUUUAUGGAGUGGGUAGAAAAAGGAGGCGGCCUGAAGAAGGUGGAGAAGAGAAUAGGGGAAAAGAAAAAGAGGUAGAAGGAAGGAUAACGAGGAGAGAAAAGUAUACUCGGUUUUUUAGAGAGGUCGAAGGAAGUAUAGAAGACUGCAUUUGAAGAGGCAAAGUGAAUCAUAACAAAAGUACGGUUCCACUCAGUAGGUUAUCAUUCCCUUACUCUUUCUCCCUCCAAUUUCAUAUCUUUCUUUGAUGCUAAUCAUGAAAUCAGAAUUACCCGCAUCACAAUUUCACAUUUUUACUUGGUUAUGGAUGUGGGUUUUCAUUGUUCUACUGUAGUCUAUGAUCUAUCCACAGUGAAGUUAAUUAGUAUCCCCUGUAAUUUGAAUUAGGUAAAACUUGAUUGUUACUUGUUAAUGGUUUGUGGGUUCUCAAUGUCUUAUUGUGAAGUUAGAUUUCAUAUGGGAAUAUGAUUCUCUGAUUGCUCUGUAAUCUGAAUUGGGUAAAUCAUAAUUUUGUUUUAGUAAUUGUUAUUGAUUUCUAAAGAGGUCGCACUUGGUGCGAUGACAAGUGUCUUCGCCCAUGAGCGGUAGGUCUCGGGUUCGAGACUUGGGAGCAGCCUCUCCAUAAAUGGGGGUAAGGCUAGUCGACAUUCACCUCGUCUAGACCCUGCGUAAAGCGAGAGCCUUGUGCACUGGGUACGACCUUUUUUGUGAGUAUAAUUGAAAUCAAAUUAUAGACAUGAUUUUGGGAUUGUAUGGAAGAAUUAUGAAGUUAUAAUUACAAGAGUUUGGGUUCUAAGUUGCAGGGAACUUAUGUUUUAUGCGAAGAAAAACUAUGUUUCAAGUAGCCUACUUUGGCUCUUGAUUUCUAUGUCCUUAUGCAUUCAUUUUGAUCCAUUAUCAUAUGUUUUGAAACUAGACAUGUCCAUGAUCAAAGACUAUCUGAUUUCACAUAAUUCCAUUGAGUUUUGAUAUGUCAAAACCAUGUACAAACUUGAGUCACGAAGCUGCCAGACAGCAGCAAAUAUUGGGUUUCCGAUUUCGGGACUCUAUUUUGUAUCUUGCAUAACCUUCAACUUAUAACCCUGUUUCCUACAAAUCGUAGAUGCUUUUAAUGUACUCAAAACAAGCUUAGAAUCUCAUGUUUGUUUGCAUCAUUUGGUAUAGUUAUGGGUGUUCAAAAUCGGGCUUAAUAUUGGUUGGCUAAAACUGUUUUUUUGGGGCUUUUGUGGAGAUAAGGUUGCUGCUUUUGCAAUAUUCAUUCUUCUCACAAUUUUUUUUCUAAUUUACUUAUCUAUAUUAAGUUUGUGUUUAAACCACUUAACCUACACAAAAAUUGCCCAUUUCUUUAAAGUCAUGAAUUGAUGCAUCUUUCCAUCACAAAAUGCUUAUGUAGGCAGAUUAAAUGAAAGUUACCAUACGUGUUGUGCCUUUUAAGUCCAAAAGUGAGACAUAUACUUUAACCAUUUCUAUUUGAAUUGUGUUAUUAACUUAUAUCUUUUCAGUUGGCAGCAGAGAGAACUAUCAUUUCUAUUUGGAAGGCAUUGAGAAACUGUAUACCAUCUGCUUUAUCUCCUCUUAGGUAAGUUGCUUGACUUCUAAUUUUAUUGUUUUAACCUCUCAUGUUGUUGAAGUUGUAAAAUAUAUAUGGAUCAUUGGUAAUUCGGAUCAUAAACAUGAUGUCUUUGGAAUUAGAAUCAUAAACAUGAUAUCUUUGGAAUUAGAAUCAUAAACAUGAUAUCUUUGGAAUUAGAAUCAUAAACAUGAUAUAGGACCUAUUUGAUAAGUGAUAAAGACGUAGGUCAUACUUUUUUGUUUUAUUAGUAUUGGAGGGUCAUGAGGUCGGGGCAAAAAAUAAUGAUGUUUUGAUUGUUAACAGUUCUUAGCAAUGGAUCGAAGUUGGAUAUUCCUUAAACAUAGAUUUUGUGAUGCACUCAUUACUGGUGUAAACUCAUUCAUAUUGGCUGCAAAGAAACAUUUAAAUGAGGAAUACAAGACACGUUGUCCAUGUAGAGACUGCCUAAAUGGGAAUCUUCAUUCUUUGCAUGUUAUCCAUUCCCAUUUAUAUAAUAGCGGGUCGCACCACACUAUAAAGUUUGGACUUUACAUGGGGAAUUUCAAGAAAGUGGGUCAAGUACCCAAAUAGAAGAUGAUAAUGACAGUGAGGAUAAUGAGAUGUUUGAGAUGUUACAUGAUAUGUGGGAACUAAUGUUGAUGCCACAAGUGGCAAUGACAACUCUCACGCUAGUAAAUAUGAGUAUUUGUUUGGCAAAGCUCAAAGGGAGCUUUAUCCUGGUUGUGAGAACUUUUCUGUUUUAAGCUUUAUUGUAGAGUUGAUGCAUAUUAAGUGUCUCUCUUUUAUGAGUAACAAGCAUUUUGACAUGCUACUCAAUUUGUUAAAAAGAUCUCAUCCAAAAGAAGCAUUUAUUCCAUCAACAAAUAAUGAUGCAAAAAAGAUGCUACGAGAGUUGGGGUUAGGGUACGAAUCAAUUCAUGCUUGCAAGAAUGACUGUGCAUUAUUUUGGAAGACUAAUGAGAAACUUGAUAAAUGUCCUGAGUGUGGUGAGCCGGGGUACAAGCCUUGUUUUGGAAAGCGCAAGAAUAUUCCACUAAAAGUAUUACGUUAUCUACCCAUUAAGCCGAGAUUGCAAAGGUUGUAUAUGUCUAGGCAUACUGCAAAAGACAUGAAUUGGCACAAAGAGAGAAGGGUUAAUGAAGAUGGGGUUCUUAGGCAUCCAAUUGAUUCAGAUGAGUGGAAAGAGUUUGAUAAACAAUAUCCUUUGUUUGCCCAAGACUUGAGAAAUGUUAGGUUAGGCCUUGUUACGGAUGGUUUUAAUCCAUUUACAAAUAUGAGUAAACCUUAUAGUAUGUGGUCAGUUAUUCUUGUCUGUUAUGUGUGUUACAAUUUUCCACCUUGGAAAUGCAUGAAGGCAGUGUUCUCUUAACUUUACUUAUUCCUGGACCAAAUGGACCUGUGAAGGAGAUUGAUGUGUAUCUUCGUCCACUGGUGAAUGAGUUAAAAGAAUUGUGGGUGGAUGGUAUUCAAACUUUUGAUGCAUCUACAGGGGAAAUUUUUCGUUUGCAUGCAUGUGUUUUAUAGACCAUUAAUGACUUUCCUACCUACGGUAAUUUGUCUAGUUGGAGCACAAAAGGCUACUUGGCAUGCCUGAUUUGCAAUAAAGAUAUAACAUCACAGAGGAUAACAAUAAAAUAACUUACAUGGGCCAUAGAAGAUUUCGACCUUGUGGUCAUGCUUGGAGAGAAAUGAGUAUUGAAUAUAAUGGUCAUACUGAACAUAAGUUUCCUCCUAAAGUUCUCUUUGAUGCUGAAAUAUUGCAACAAUUAGAUAAAGUCAGAAGCUUCAGUCCUGGAAAAUAUGAGAAUAAUAUAGAAAGGGAUCAACCACGAGCGGCUGAAGAGUUGAAUUGGACAAAGAAGAAUAUUUUCUUCGAGUUAGAGUAUUGGUCGAAGCUAAGGUUGAGACAUAAUAUUGAUGUUAUGCAUGUUGAAAAAAAUAUAUGUGAUAGUGUAAUAGGGACAUUGUUGAAUAUUUAGGGCAAAACAAAAGACACAGAUAAUGUUCGUCGAGACUUGGAAGCUAUGAACAUCAGGUCAAAUCGUCAUUUGAGACUUGAAAGCGGAAAAUGAGAAAACCACAUGCUAGAUAUGUACUAAAAAUGCCCCAACAUAGGGAAUUUUGUAAGUUUCUAAAAUCAUUCAAAUUUCCUGAUGGGUACACUGCCAAUAUCUCUAGAAAUGUGAGCAUCAAUGAUGGAAAGAUAUACGGUUUAAAAAGUCAUGAUUGCUAUGUUUUACUUCAGCGCCUUCUCCCAGUUGGUAUUCAUCCAUUUUUGGAUACAGAAGUGUGCAAUGCUCUGAUUGAAUUAUCUCUUUUCUUCCAGAAUAUUUGUGCUAGAACGCUAAGAGUGUCAGACUUAGAGCGUAUGGAGAAUGAGAUUGUUAUAACUUUAUGCAAACUUGAGAUGAUUUUUCCUCAUGCCUUCUUUGAUAUAAUGGUUCACCUGGUUAUCCAUUUACCUCGUGAAGCCAAACUUGGUGGUCCUGUUAAUAAUCGAUGGAUGUAUCCGAUUGAAAGGCUCUUAGGUAAACUGAAACAAUAUGUUAAAAACAAAGCUCGUCCCGAAGGUUCACUAAUAAAAGGAUAUAUUGUACAUGAAUCAAUGACAUUUUGCUCAUUGUACUUACGUGGGGUUGAAAUACGCUUCAAUCCAAAUGUGCGAAAUGAUGAUGGAAGAAAUGAUCGAAAUGUGGGUGGUUUGUCAGUAUUCUCCCAAAAAGCACAUCCAUUUGGAGGUAGAAAGUUUAUAUUGUUGCCUAAAAAGGAAUUUGAUAAAGCUCAUUGGUUUGUGCUCCACAAGUGUGAUAAGGUUCAACCAUAUCUUAUGUAAGUAAUCUUCUAGGUCAUCUAUAUAUUCUCAUUUUUAUGUAUUAUAGCAUUAAUUAAGUAUUUGUUUUUCUUACUUGUUUAGUAAACAUAUGGAAGAAUUAAAGCUAAAAAGCAAUGAAAAUUUCUGUCAAAGGCAGGAACAAGAGUUUCCUAAAUGGUUUGAAAAUCGGGUAAGUUUUGUAACAUGUUUAUGUUUGAAACUAUAUGUGUCAUUAUUUUCCUAUAAAUAAUUAGUGUUUUAUAAUAUUACUAGAUAUAUGGCUUGAGAGAAAUGGGAUCAUUGGAAGCCAUUGAUGAUCUACAUUAUUUGUCAUGCAAGCCUGAUAUCCGUGUGCAUACAUACACUGGGUGUAUUGUUAAUGGAGUUCGCUUUCAGACAAAAGGUCGUGACAAUAAUCGUACCACACAAAAUAGUGGAAUUUUUGUGUUUGGGGAACAUAGUGAUUGUAGUCAUGAUUACUAUGGUGUUUUAGAAAGUGUGUAGGAACUGACUUACAUUAAUUGCAAUAAGGUAUUUUUGUUCAAAUGUUUGUGGUUUAACACUGACUCGACUCCCAAAGACCCUAAGAAGAGAAAGAUACGUCAAGAUUAUCAUCUUUCAAGCAUUAAUGUAAAUUCAUUGUGGUAUAAGGACAAGCACAACAAGUGUUUUAAGUCGACGAUUAUAAGUUAGGUUCUAGCUAGAAAGUCAUGCAAAGAGUGCAAUGCAGACAUAUAUGGGAUGUUCCAGAAAAUGAUACAACUGAAGAUGUAAAUCAAGAUAUCGAACCAACUACUGGUAAUAAUGUUUACCAAGAGGAUGAGUUCAAUGAAGUUCGAUGGGCUGUUCAAGAAGAUCAAGAAAAUCUCUUAUCAAGUGAUGAUGAAAUGGACGAAGAUUCUGAAGAUGAGUCUCAUGUCUAUGCUGUAGAAAGUGAUCCAACUUAUAGGGUGAAUUCAAGACACGACGAUGAGGAUUUUGAAGAAGAUAAUGCAUUGGAUGUUGGUGAAGAUGAAGAAAUUCUUGAAAGUGACGAUAGUGAUAGCAGUGACUACUAAGAUUUUUCUAAUGUAGUUUCUGAUUGUUUCUGUAAAAGGUUCUUGUAUCAUAUGUAAAAUAAAUUUUGCAUUAAUGAUGUUUUAGGUGAACCCAAAAAAAAAGGUCAAAGAUAUGUGGGAAGAAUUCCGAUAAACUGCAAGAGCAACUUGGUGGUUUAAAAAUACCAAUUACUUUGACAAAACUAAAGGGGAAGCCCAAAGGUCCGAAUUCCUCAUUUCUUGUGAAUGAUAUUGGUUUUGUGGUUCGGACCUAUGCACCACUAAAUGUGAAGCAAUGGAGGAAUGUAGAAAAGAAGGAUGUGGAUAAGAUGAUUGAAAGAAUAACUGUGAGUAAUAUUUUCAUUUCACAUUUUUGUUACAUUCAGUAUGUAAAGUCUUUCUUAAAUUAGAUUUAUUAUAAAUUGAAUUCCAUGCAGAGCAAGUACGAUAUUGAUAUGUCACUAACUCAUGUUAGUACAUAUAUUAAGAAUGCAUUACAAAGGCGGUUUGUUGAUUUUCGACACAAGCUAAAGCAGCAUUUUGAUUCAUUCCUAACUUUAGAAGAAGCAAACCAAAACAAACAUGAGGAUGUAACUAGUCAAGAGGAAUGGAAUUUUCUUUGUGAUCGUUAUGCAAGUGAUCAAUUCAAGGUACACGUGUAUAUUAAUGAAAUGAAUUGCGGUUGUCAUGUAUGCUGUUUAUCUUCUUCAUGUCACCAAAUUUAUUUUGCUAUGCAGGAACGCUCAAAUAAAAAUGCAAUUAAUAGGUCUCAUUUGACUUACAAUCAUAAAGGAAGGUCAAAAUCUUUUAGGGCCUAUGAAGAAGAGAUUGUAAGAUGUGUUUUUCAUAAUUUUAAUCUAGAUUCUAGGUGGAUAAUGAGUUAUUAACUUUAAUUUGUGAUUCAUGCAUUAGAAGCCAAAACCGGAGAACAGCUAAGUGCAAUUGAUUACUGUGAGGCUGUGCAUAAAAACACCAAAAAUGGUUAGGAUGAAAGAGCUAAACUGAAGUGGUAAGUUAGUUAUGUACAUGUUGGUUGUGUAUAUUUUAGUCCUGCUAUGUCAAUGUAUAUAUUUGUAUUCAAUGUUUAUGUGUAUGUCAUAAUCUAACAUGUAAACUUUUGAAAGCGUGUAUUGUUUCUUGCUUAUUUCUCCUACAUAAAAGAGUCUCGCCACUUAUAAGACAUGUAAGUAUAAAGGUGUUGUCCAUGACUUGUGGUGUUCAUUGUCCCCUGUCACUUUUCUGUCAUUCCUUGGACUCAAGUUUGGCAAACUAAGGUUUUUGCUUGGGGAAAAAAUAUAAUUGUUUGACAAUUACCUCUUAUUUAGCUCAAUAGCUGACAUGUAAUUCGUGGCUUGAUAAGUUGCAAGGCUUUUUUUGUGCUUGUAUGAGUUUGAUAAUGUCAUUAUGUUGAUAAAGGUGUAUUAUUGAUCAUAAGCAAUUAUAAUUAUAGACAAGUCAUUUGCGACUAAAUCGAGAUAGAAGAAUAUGUGAAGCUUUUAUGUUUAUGAUAUACAUACGAAGGAACCAAAUGUGAUAGAUUUUAUGUUUGUGUACAUGAAGGAGCUAAGCAUGAUAGUUUAUUUUUCAUUUGUAGGAAGAGAUGCUAAGUGUGAAAAACGAAACAACUCUUCCAGAUGGUACGGUGACGUUGACAGAUGAUGAAAUUAUUCUAGGGGUUCUUGGUCACAAGUCUGGGUACUUCAAAGGUCCUUCAAAGUCUGUCUCUCAUGAAGACACUAUGUUGGACAAAUUUAGAAGAAAAACUUGAGACUCAAUAGCAAGAGCUUGUGACAACAAAACAAGAGCUUGUUGAAAUAAAACAAGAGCUUGGUGAAGCAAAACAAGAGAUCCAAGAAUUGAAGGAGAACCAAAAGAAAUUUGAGGAACUCCUACACAAAAUAAUGGAAGGGCAGCAACCACCUCCAUAAGUAGUCCUUUUGUUUUGCUCGAAUAUGUGAACUUUUUUUUUAAAACAAUGUGAACUUUCAUAGUUGUUAACAUUAAGCGUAACUAAUUUUGCAGACUAUGAAUUAUCAUUGUAAGCUAUUUUGGUUUUGGACUAAUAUGAAUGAGCUUUUAGUACCUUUGAUCAUUAAUUCUUGGCACUAAAUUAAUUCAGGUUACAGGGAGAAACCAACUUCUCGUAGUAGGUUACUCAUGAGAAUAAUUAUCAUUAACUUACAACGAGGAAUUUUACCUUCAUUUAAGUUCUUGCUAUAGACUUGUUACAACGAGGAAACGAGUGUCUCAUAGAUACUUAUCAACGAGGAAAUUCAUUCUCGCAACAUAUGAUCUGCAGCGAGAAAUAAUAUGUUCAUCGUUGAAUACUCACCUACAAAUUCCUCGCCAAAAGAUAUUUACAGCGAGGAAUUUGAUCAUUUUUGCGAGGAAUUUUAUCCUCGCAUAAGUUAUGGAAUGUCAAUAUUCAAGUUGUCAAAAGGUUUUGGCGACCACAUUCCAACCUCUUUAGCGAGGAAUUUGUCAUCACUCCAACUCAACUAUGAGAAAACGUUCCACUCUCGCUGUAUCAUUUCUAUGAGGAAAUAAUUCCUCACUGUACACAUUUCCUGACGGGCCUACUAUGAGGAAUGAGAGAGGAAUUUUUUUCCUCGUUGAAAACCUUCUGCGAUAAAACAACAACUUUCAAUGAGGACAAAAGUCCUUGCCAAACAGCUAUUUUGUUGUAGUGUUUGUAGUGGUAGGUGAUAGCGUUUACUUUAUUCUCUAAGGAAUAGAAUUGGGUUGGAAGGCUACACAAUGUCAUUUAAAAAAAAAAUAAUGAAGGUAUUAGCAGUUGAAAACAAUUAUUAAAUACUCAACUCUAUUUUUUAUUAAAGCAGCUUUUAAAAACAACAUGCAUGCUGCUUCUAAAACCUGUUGUUUGGAGCCCAUUGCUUUUAAAAUAAGUAGAAUAUUUUACUUUUACCAAAUACUUUUUUACUGUUUAACUUUAAAGUUAAGCAGUUUUUAGUGGAAAAAAAAAAUUCAAAGGGGGCCUUAAGUUUCUCAUUUGCACUAGGCUGCCACUAGCAUUUGUAAAUGAUGUUCUAUAAUUAUUCAUAUUCUAUUUCUAAUAAUUAAAAACCCAUAUUAUCUUAAAUUAUCUAAUAACCCAUCACAUAACUUGAAUUUUUUGGAUGCUAAUUAAAUUGUAAUAUCAAUAUAAGGGCUCAUCUAGAAUUAAAAUUACUGCAAACGCUUUUAGAGAAAAUGAUUUUGGGUUUCAAAAGCACUUUGAGUACAUCCGGCAAGCAGCACCGGUUAUGUAUUUCUUGCAGAAAUCACUUCAAAUGUUUUUUCAAGAUUCACUUAUAUUUUUACUAAGGAUUGGUUUUAAAAAUAUUUUUACCAAAAAUACUUUUUGCCAUUUUAAAAAUACUUCCAAACUAGUCAUACUUCUUGUGUUACUGUUACAAACGAAAUUUUUUUAAUUGGUAUAUAGUUAUAUAGCUAGCUAGGUGCCUCAACUUAGAACUUGUUUCUCCAAAUCAUCUUUAAUGUGUUAGAAGAGUUUAAGGACCUUGAAUAAUUAAGGAGGCCCCAUAGACCAAAGGCAAGUUAUCAGUAGAUCCCCUUGGACUCUAUUGUAAUUGUUAGACCUAAGUUAAUUAAUUAAUUAAUUAACAAGGCAAACGAGCAGUAUCACAGUUAGUGCUUGGUUCAUGCAGGUAAAGAAAACCGGGAAUACCCCAAUGGUACAUAAUUUCAUAAGGAUAAUACUAAGAAGAUUAAUUUUUUUUAAAACAGGGAAAACCCCAAUGUUACAUAAUUUUAUAAGGGUAAUAUUAAGUAGAAUAAAUUUUUAAUUAAAUUUUGUAAAUAAAUGAUGUAGUUGUCGAUGAUUGAAUUAUUACUUAAAUGUUGAUUAACAUGCUUAUUUUCUAUCAGUGACACAUUAUAAUUUACAAAUUUAAUUUAAACGAAGGCAUACUAACGCUCUGGUUAGAAGAUGCAAUUACGAGCAGAGGUUCACAGCUGAAGAGGUAGAGGUAGAGGAAUACCUAUAAGGACUUUAGAAGAGACUCUAAAAAAAGACUUAGAGUACUUGGAUCUAAUGGAAGACGUGAUACAAAACCGAGCGCAAUUGUGUUCUAAGAUUUAUAUAACUAAUCUCACUUAGUAAGAAAAUGUUUUGCUGUUGUUGUUGUAUAGUAUUACUCAUUUCAUAAUAUUAGUUUAAGUGCGUAUACUAAAUCUAACAAGAAAAUGGACAAUUAUGUACUUUUGUAUUCUGACAUGAUUAAGGAAAAGAAAGAAGAUAACUUUUUCUUGUUUGACCCGUAGUUCAAGGCUUGUUCUCACUCUGCCAUUCAAAAUCCUGAAAAUUAUUAAGAAUAAUACGUGUAUCUCCACAAGAGAGGAAUACGCAUAUCUCAACCUUACUAAUUCAUGUUUUUUAUUAAUGAAUAUUUUUUUUUUGGAAAUAUAUUAAUGAAUAAUUCCUUACAUGUAAAACACCAUAUAUUUUUCUUAUUGUUAUUCGUUAAAGAGUAUACGGAUCAACUGAGGCUCACAACUCCCUUUUUUUUUUGUAAAGAAAUCGAUAGAAUUUCAUUGAAGGAAGAAGUCCCACAGACCACCAGUCGACAAUGCCUGAGAAGAGCAAGUCCUGAUUCUCCUAAAACUAAUAACAAAGAAUUUACCUCCAUGCCUACAAUAAGAGUUUGAAUCAAGACUCUCCUAAUUCUCCUCCUAUUGCAAUUGUAUUCCACUAUCGUAUUGAUCUUAAUAAAGGUGCAUAGUUUAUUGAACAAUGUUUGGUUACUCAAUGAUGAAUAGAAGUUUCUAUUCAAAACUCUUCGUGUUUCAAUCACAGUGCUUUGUGUUUAUGAUCAGAAUCAUUCAUAUUAUAAAUCACUCGAUAAAGAUUAUUUCUGAAAAAAUGAAUUAAAACUAAGAUCGGUUAGUCAAUCUAUUGUAGCAAAUACAUCGACAGUGCAUAUACAAAUUUUGUUCGUCUUUUUUAUACAAUUUGAUGACUAAACGACCUUAGUUUAAUUGAUUUUUUUGCAGUGACGAUCUUUAUAAAGUGAAUUAUAAUAUAAACGAUUUUGAUCAUAAACGCAAUGUUCUAUGAAUCGGCAACAAACUAUUUGAAUAGAAACUCCAACGCAUCUUUUAAGUAGCCAAUAAUUAUUCUAAUUUAUUUCCAUCUUAACAAUACUACUAGCCAUACACUUACGAAACACAGCCCUUAAUGCUCUAUUUGGUUGCUGGAAUUUCCAAAAGAAAAAUUGUAAUUUUCUUGUUCGCCGGAAGCACAUGAUAGGGGCCGAUAUUAGUGGCGGGGCCCUAAAUGGGGCUCACAAAACAAGAACAGUGUUCUGCAGAAAGAAGAUCGGAGUUGACAAAUUCAUGUGACAAACGUGAGUAAGAUUAUAGCGUAUCAUUUGCUCUUCGUUUAGCAACGGAAAAAAAUGAUUAAUUAUGUUGAAGAAUUAAUAGACACACAUUCUUCGCAUUGACAAAUUAACUUCAACCAACUCGUAAAAACUAAUUUCAUUAUGCAGUUUCAAUGUUUAGAGCACUGUGUUAUUCUCUUCCCUAAACUUGAGAGAAGAAUACUACACACUUAACUUCCUAUGUUUUUCAGUGAUUCACUUGAGAUUGAUAGAGAAAGAGGAACUAUGAACUGGAUAGGGAAGUUCCUCCCCAGUCAUGGCUAUGUUCAUUCAGGUAAGCAAGCAUUACAAGGACUAAUUAAGAUGUAAUUAACAGCUCAAUAUAUAACAUGCAUUAAUUUCACUAUAUCCAAGUUUCAGUCUGACAAUUAAUUAAGCUAAUUGGUGAUCUUACAAUUGUUUCAAUGCAUGUUUACUAUAAGCAAAACUAAAAACUUAAUGAAAUUCCCUAAGAAACAACUUAAUGAAGGGUGCACAGCAACCUCUAGCUGACCCAUGAUAGUCCUCAUACUGAUCAUGACGAAGAAUCCUUGAAUCAACGAAAACCUUCGGGCUUGACAUUGAUCUACCUCGUGCCAAAAAUUUCGUCGGUGUUACUGGGGAAGAUGGCACUGAAUAGUAUGUUGUUGAAUAAGCUGAUGACGACGAAGAAGAAGCAGAAGAAGAAAAGGAAGGAGAUGCUGAUGAAAUGGCUGGUAAGGAUGAUGGGUUUGAUACUUUUCUUGAAGUUGUACUAGUACUACGCAUUUUGGGAAGAAUAUUGGGUACACGAGGAGAGCUUUUAGAGUUCUUUUUCCUCGAGGGUCUUUUUGGGGAAUCGGAAAAAUACGAGGGUGGAGGUGUAAGAGGAGCUAAACGACUAGGGUUUUGGAGGAACUUGGAUUUAGGAGUACCUGGUUGAGAUUCCCAAGUGAAUGGAACUGAAACAAAGGCAGAGGCUUCUCCAUGGUAGUGAUCUUCAAGUGCUGAUGAUGAGUUAGCCAUAAAUUCUUGUUUGGGUGCUUAGAGAAGUUGUGGUGCUUGGGUUUGAAGCAAUCUUUUGCUUCAGUUUGAAUUAAAAGUGUCUUACUAAUAACUAGAUAUAUUUGUAUACAUGGGGCAAAGUGUGGAAUGAAUUAUAAUUAAUCUAUUGCGUCUCUUGCUAGUUUCAAGGAUCGGUUGAUUUUUGGCUUACAAAUGUCUACAUGUGAUUCUCUAACAUGCUGGUGUAUGACUUUAUAUAAAAAUAGGGGUUUGAAAAAUUUGUUAGUGGAACAUAAAAAUAUAAUUUUAUGAAAUUGAGAGUGAUAUACUUGAUCAUGACUGGCCAACUAAUAUAUUUCAUAUAUAAAAGGUUUUUAAAUCAAAAUGAUCUUUGAGAUUGGCAUAACUCCUCAAUUUGAAAUCAAUAGAAAUGAUUUCUGAAUUUGUCCCCAUCAAUCAUUUUUUGUCAUUUCGUGAAAAAUUUAUAUUAAAUACGGAUAAAAUAACAAAAAUAACCUUAAUGUUUAUCAAAUCAUUUGGGCUCAUUGUUUUCACUUGUGCGUCCUGGGUUCGAAGCGCCGCCCUCCCCUAAUAGUUUCGAACUCACUCCUUUCCCUUAAUAAUAAUAAACUUAAAAAUAAAAUAAAAAUCGAAACGACAUGCACGUUUAUUAAAAGCCAGUAAACCCUGCUUAAAUUUAGGUUUGCUAAAUGAACUGCUUAUUAAUUAUUUUAGCCAUUUUUUCAUAUAUAUUUAUCAAAUUAAUCAAAUGUUAAUUUUUAAUGGUUUAUACUAUUAUUUCUUGGAUUAUCAAUGAUCCACUAUAACCUUCUUUUUUUAAUGAUCCACUAUAACUGAUGACUGAUUAAGUGUCUAAAAGUCAGCCGAAAUAUAAAUAUCGUAUUCAGCAGCUUGCUUACUCCUUUUCGCUUUCUUCUCAUCAAAAGAUGACCAUCACAUCAUUUUGCUGCAUUCUUAAUGCCUAUGUUUUGGCUUGCCCAUUGCUCUUUUGGCUGUUUUGUUUCUCGUUUCUUGCCUUUGUGCCUCUUUUAUGAAAUCAUGUUUUGAUACAAACAACAUGCGACAUGCGAUAUCAAAAACAGGACCUCAUAUACAAAAAAGGCUCGCAAUUACUUAAGUUACGAGCCUCUCAUAUGUUUGCAAUUAAUUUGAGCUUGAUAAUCAUGUGCACACUAACUGAAUAGCUCAUUUCCUUUAAUUCUGAAUAUAAUUGUAUAAUUGAUUAAAAACCCAUUUAGGCGAACCUUUUGAGACAAUUUCCCUACUAUUAUUGCCCUAAGAGCUGCGACUUAGGCGAUCUGUUAAUCAAUCUUAGUCAACAAAAUAUUAUAAUCUUAUUUAAAAUUGCCAACAGAAUUAAAGAAUAUAAGGCAUAUUCAUGAUAUUAAUUAUUUAGUCAACCUAUACAUUUAAAUAAUUUGAAGUCAUUGUUUUCGAAAUGUUUUAAUUAAAAUUAUUUGAGAAUAUUUUAGAUUUUGGAAGUUGCUUAAUUAGCAAGAACAAGAUGCAUGGGUUGAGUUAAUUAGCCUCUACUGGCAAGUUGAAUUGAUAAGCGCCUAAGGAAGCUUUGGCCCUAAUUAAACAAGUUUGAACAUGUGUUUAUGUAGUAAUUAACCUUCUUCAUUUACUUCAAACGAUUGAUAAUUGUCAUGUGUAUAUGGAACAGUGGAGAAGUCGGUGUCAGAGUAAGAGAGCACCGACUGAUCUAAUGUAUACGAAACAGUUUUUAUUGGGUCAAACACAAAAAAUGAAAUUAAAAAAUAGGGUUACCUUGUGUGGCGAAGUAAUUAAAUGACUUUUUUUUUUUUGUUCUGUCAGGAAAUUAUUAAACGACUUUGAUCAACAAAAAUAAUACCUACUGUUCAAUAAAUUAGGAUUAUAGUUGCAGUGAGUCAAAAGAUCCCACUAUGAGAUGAAGGAAACAGGUUAUCCUUAGCAAGUCAAUUUGUAUUCGUUUUGACCCAAGUGUACAGAGGAGGAUGCCAAAGAAUGGGAACAAUAUAAGGAGCUUCCAUAGCUCAUCGACAAAAUUAUAGAGACUAAAAGUGCUUAUUUAAAACUAUUGAUUUCUCAUUAUUCGAAUUUGAUUGGAACCGAUGACUUACGUCUAUUUCCUAGUGUUACGGGAUGACUCUUUAAGCCUUCCGCCCGUGCGGCACUUAGACUUGAAUACCUCGAUGAACAAGCUAAGUAAGCCUUCGAAGCCUCGCUUCCCCGGAUCGAAUCACAAAGAAAGCUAAGAUAGCUUGGAGAAUGCUAAAAUCACUUAGAAGAUGGGAGAAAGGAAGCUUUGUAUUGAAACUUAAGAGAACUUUACAAUUGCUUACAAUUCUUGGAUGCCUUGGCCAAAUGGCCUUGCCUCCUAUUUAUAGGCCUAAGUCACCUCCUCAAUGGAGGGUUCUAGAAUUCCCUACUUUCAUCCAAAAAUAUCUAGCAUAGUUCUAGAUACAUCUUGCCUAAUCUACAUUGUUCUAGGUGAGGCUUAAAUUUGUACACUUGUGUGGAAUGUUCCGGAAUGCCCUAGAUUAUCUUGAACGCUCCGCCAUGUUCUUGAUUUUUCCGGGAUGUUCCAGAAGCUUCCAUGAAGACAAGGCUUUAUGGGCUUAGAUAUAUGAUGUCUUAGGUGAUUUCUUUGUUUUUAACUUAUGGCCCGUGACAUCCUCCCCCACUUAAGACGUAGACGUCCUCGUCGACUCUUGCCUCUCGAAUGUCUGAAUCAAGUCCUUAUAUUGCCAUAAGGACGUCUCUUUCUCCCAUGUUGCUUCGGAGUAUGGUAGCCCCUUCCAUUUGACAAAGUACUCCACAUGCUUUGGUUGUCUUGGUCGCACCACGACACGCUUGGCUUCAAUGCUCUCCGCUUCUUUGUCAAAUGCCUCCGUCAUCAAAGGGGGUGCUUGAUAAGACUCACCUCGACUUGGUUCUUCAUCGUCUGCAUGAUAAGGCUUCAAGUUGCUCACAUGGAACACCGGGUGAAACUUGAGGCGGGGUGGGAGUUCCACAACAUACGCGGCUUUGCCAACCUUCUUAAUGAUAAGGAAUGAUCCCUCAUAUUUCCGCAACAAGCUCUUGUGCAAGCCACGAGUACUCUUGUGUUGAGACGCAUUGAGCUUCACAAAGACUUGGUCGCCAGUUUGGAACUCCACAUUCCUUCGCUUACGAUCCGCCCAUUUCUUCAUCUUCUUUGAAGCCUUCUCCAAAUGAGCUUGAGCAAGUUCGCGGGCUAAUUGCCACUCCUUAACGGUUUUGAAAGCGGCUGGACUAUUCCCCGUGUAGUUAGUCACGACCGUGUUCGGGGUCAAGGGUUGUUGCCCUAUAGCCAACUCGAACGGACUUUUCCCCGUCGACUCCGAACGUUGCAAGUUAUAAGAAAAUUGGGCAACAUCAAGUAACUUAGCCCAAUCUCGUUGAUUGGCAUUAACAUAGUGCCGUAAAUAAGUCUCCAACAAUGCAUUAACCCGCUCCGUUUGUCCAUCAGUUUGGGGAUGAAAAGCUGUGGAGAAGUCUAACUUUGAGCCAAGUAGCUUGAAGAGUUCCUUCCAAAAUCUUCCCGUGAAGCGAGCAUCUCAAUCACUGACUAUGCUCCUCGGAACACCCCAAUACUUCACCACGUGCUUUAGAAACAAGCGUGCAGCUACUUCGGUUGUGCACUCCAUAGGUGCGGGUAUGAAAGUGGCAUACUUGGUGAAUCUAUCGACCACGACGAAGAUAGAUCCAUAUCCAUCAGACUUGGGCAAAUGUGUGAUGAAAUCCAUGGUUAAACACUCCCAUGGUCUUGAUGGGGUGGGAAGUGGUUCCAACAGUCCUCCCGGUUGCCUUUGUUCCCCUUUGUCUUGUUGGCACACAAGACAAGUCUUCACGUAUGAAUCUACAUCAUCCCGCAUUUGUGGCCAAUAAUAAGCAUCGCUCACCAAAGCCAACGUGCGGUGAGUGUCAGAAUGUCCUGCCCACAUUGAGUCGUGGCACUCCUUAAGGAUUUAUUUCCUUAAGCUUCCCCACUUUGGGACGUAGAUCCGCUUGCCCUUGGUGUAUAGCAAGCCGUCCUCAAGCCAAAACCUUCUUGUCUUCCCAUCCUUGACAAACUCCACAAUGUUCUUGGCUUGGACGUCAUGUGAUAAACCUUCUCGGACACGGCCCAAGAGAUGGCUUUGCGGCUUGAGUACCGUAGCCAUUAACUCUACUCGUCUACUUAGAGCAUCGGCCACCACGUUCUCCUUUCCUUGCUUGUACUCUAGCUUGUAAUCAAACUCCGCUAAGAACUCUUGCCACCUUGCUUGCUUAGGUGUGAGCUUUUGUUGGGUUUGAAAGUAGCUAGUGGCAACGUUGUCCGUCUUGAUGAUGAAUGGGGUACCAAGCAAGUAAUGCCUCCAAACUCUAAGGCAAUGGACGAUGACGGUCAUCUCCUUUUCAUGGGUCGUGUACCUUUUCUCAGCAUUGUUUAGCUUGCGACUUUCAUAGGUUAUCGGAUGUCCUUCUUACAUCAACACUCCUCCUAUGGCAAAGUCGGAAGCAUCAGUGUGCAACUCGAAUGGCUUGCUAAGGUCGGGCAACCUUAGUACAUGCUCCUCCAUUAGGGCCUUCUUCAACCUCUCAAAGGCCUCUUAACACCGGUCCGUCCAUUCUCAUGCCUUGUUCUUCUUAAGAAGGUCUGUUAAGGGUGCCGCUAUGGCUGAAUACCCUUUAAUAAAUCUCCGAUAGUAGUUGGCUAGCCCCAGAAAGGAUCGUAGUGUUGGUACCUUGGUCGGCGGUUCCCACUUUUGAAUGGCCUUGAUCUUGCCCUUUUCCAUCAUAAGUUUCCCCUCCCUUAUCUUGUGGCCAAGAAAUUCUACUUCUUUUGUGGCAAAGGAGCAUUUCUCCUUCUUGACAUAGAGUUCAUGCUCCCGAAGGGUCUUGAACACUAUGCGCAAGUGCUUGACGUGCUCCUCCAAUGUCUUACUAUAGACAACGAUAUCAUCAAUGUAAACCACGACAAACUUGUCAAGAUAAGGAUGGAAUACCUUGUUCAUCAAUGUGCAGAAUGUUGCGGGGGCAUUGGUUAGACCAAAUGGCAUGACUUUAUACUCGAACGAUCCAUAUAUGGUCACCAUCGCCGUCUUCGAUUCGUCUCCAGGGGCUAUCCUCACUUAGUAGUAUCCCGAUCGAAGAUCUAACUUUGUGAAGUACCUUGCUUCACCAAGUUGAUCGAAUAAGUCGGCGAUCAACGGAAGUGGGUACUUGUUCUUGAUGGUAAUCUUGUUCAAUGCUCUAUAGUCGAUGCACAACCUUAGGCUACCUUCUUUCUUGCGUUGGAACAAGACGGGUGCACCAUAUGAGGACUUGGAGGGUUGGAUGUAGCCAGCAUUAAGUAGCUCGUUGAGUUGCUUCCUCAAUUCCUCCAACUCGGGUGGCGACAUCCUAUAAGGUGAUUUGGAGGGAAGCUUAGCACCAGGCUCCAACUCAAUCGCAUGGUCGACCUCUCUCAUUGGUGGCAACUUCUUUGGCAAUUCCUUAGGCAUCACGUCCGCAAACUCCAUAAGGACGGCUUCCACUUGUUUCGGCAAAGGCCCGUACUUCUCAUCCCCUUCAUUCAACAUUAGGGUUGCAAGAAAUGUGGCCUCGCCUUUCUUCCAAGACUUGGCAAAUUGAAUUGCCGACAAGUGCUGGGUACACUUCUUAGCUUGCCUUUCCAAUGGCACCAGGCAAGGUUGUCUUCCGUCGGCCAGGAUACAGAAAAUAUUGUAGAAGGGAAUGGGAAAGGCUCGUACCUUGUCCAUGAACUCUAACCCAAUGACUACGCCAUAGUCGUCCAUCUUGACUACGGUGAAGUCGAUCUUUCCCUUCCAUGUGCCAAUGUCUACUUGUACAUUGCGCGCAACUCCAACAAUGGGGGUGGCAGCGGAAUUUACCGUCUUCACACUACCAGGCUUCUUUGUGACUCGGAGGCCAAGCCUUGUGGCUUCCUCCGACGUCAUGAAGUUGUGGGUUGCUCCCGUGUCCACCAACACACGCGUCGUCUUGUCACCAGUCUUGACGUCGACGAACAAUGAUCUUCCCCCAACUUGAGCCUUAGGUUGUGGGAAGGUUGUUUAGAUAGCAUUCAGUAGACGGAUGCAUCCCAUCCUUGCAUCGUUACUCUCUUCGGCCUUGUCGUCCUUGAAAGCCAUGGCCUUAAGGGCCUUCUUUUGUGGGCAAUCUCGCAUCAUGUGAGGGCCGUCGCAUAGGUAACAAGUGGGUUGCCAAGACUUACCCUUGCUUUUGUCAUGCUUAUCAGCUUUCUUCUCCUUUGGUUUGCUUGUCUCGGCCUUGUCCUUCAGCUUAUGUUCUCCCCCACUUCUCUCAUGGUUACCCCUCUUCCCCGUGGACUUGGAAUCACCUUGGUGGCUUGAUUUAAACUCAAUCAAGGAUUCGGCGGCGGCAAUGGCAUCAGACAAUGUUUGCACGUGUCUCCUUUGUAGUUCGAGUUUUGCCCAAUUUUGCAGUCCACUCAUGAAGUACAUGAGCUUGUCUUCCUCUAACAUGUUGGGCACCUCGAAUAACAAGCUCACGAAGGCGUUGACAUAGUCUUUGACGCUCCCCGUUUGCUUGAGCCACCUUAGUUUCUCCUUGGUUUCGUACUUGGCAUUUUGGGGAUAAAAGUGCAACAUAAGAUCUUUCUUAAAUUCAUCCCAAGUGGUGAGGGAGAACGUACCUUGCUCAAUCUCCAUGCUCCGGCGACGCCACCACAUAAGGGCAUUGUCAGCUAAGAACAUGGUUGCCGUUGAGAUUUUGGACUCGUCAUCUUCAAGCUUCAGGUACUUGAAGUAUCGCUCCACGUUCCACACGAAUGUGUCGAGCUCAUUUGCUUCCCUCUUCCCAUUAUAGGAUUUGGGUUUAAAGGAGUCGAUUACCUUGGAGUCCAACGCCUUGAUUUCCCUCAGCCCUUGCACGAAUUGAUUCACGACCGCUUCUUUACAAAACGCCACAUUUCCCUUAAGUUCCCUUGUGUCCUUUAUCUCUUCUUGAAGCGCCACAAACCUUGCCUCUAUGUUGUCAAGGUGAACCUGGACUUCCCUCCGUAUCUUGUCUACCAUGGUGUUGAGAGCGCCAAUGAGCUCAUCUCGUAGCCCUUCCACCAAGCCACGCAGUUCAUCCUUACCAUUGUCCACCAUGGUUUGGAUUUCCUCAUUGUCGACAACGUCCUCAUCAAGUCGAGUAUCGAACUCGAGUAUGGUUCGUUCCACCUUCUCGAGUCACUCUUCCAUGGUCUCCAUCGAUGCUUGCAAGUCCUUUAACUUUAGCUUGCUCUUGGCAACAUCUUGGACCUCGGCAGUACGCUCCCUUAGCUCGGAGACUCCGGACACCAUCUCUCCACUUGCCAUAUCCUACUUUCCUUCAAGUGAUUCGCGAACUAGGCUCUGAUACCAGCUGUCACGGGAUGACUCUUUAAGCCUUCCGCCCGUGCGGCACUUAGACUUGAAUACCUCGAUGAACAAGCUAAGUAAGCCUUCGAAGCCUCGCUUCCCCGGAUCGAAUCACAAAGAAAGCUAAGAUAGCUUGGAGAAUGUUAAAAUCACUUAGAAGAUGGGAGAAAGGAAGCUUUGUAUUGAAACUUAAGAGAACUUUACAAUUGCUUACAAUUCUUGGAUGCCUUGGCCAAAUGGCCUUGCCUCCUAUUUAUAGGCCUAAGUCACCUCCUCAAUGGAGGGUUCUAGAAUUCCCUACUUUCAUCCAAAAAUAUCUAGCAUAGUUCUAGAUACAUCUUGCCUAAUCUAGAUUGUUCUAGGUGAGGCUUAAAUUUGUACACUUGUGUGGAAUGUUACGGAAUGCCCUAGAUUAUCUUGAACGCUCCGCCAUGUUCUUGAUUUUUCCGGGAUGUUCCAGAAGCUUCCAUGAAGACAAGGCUUUAUGGGCUUAGAUAUAUGAUGUCUUAGGCGAUUUCUUUGUUUUUAACAUAUGGCCCGUGACACUAGGACGUUUAAAGAUCGCGGCUCUACUACUUAGUUAAAAAGGUCCAUCCGCAAAUAUGACUGGGAAAGAAAGCUUCAAACUACCUAACCAAAUCAAAGUAUGAUGACGUAUAUGUAAAAUAAAGAGUUUUGCUUUCAAACUUCACUUUAUUUCAUAUUUUCUACAUAGCCAUUAGCAAGAUAAAGCAUGCAGCCAUCUAAACAUUUCAGAGCUAUGAGAAAAUUGCUUCGACAUAAAAAGAGCUAGUUAGCUAAAAAAACAAUGCCAAAUUGAGAAGAAAACCAAAGCCAACCAUGUUGUGCAACCUCGUAGCUAAAAAGUAUGUGUGAUCAAUGAUUCAGAGUUGUAGUAAUCAACCUCCUCCAUUGGAAGCUUAUUGAAGAUUAUCCGCCAAAUCAAAAAGAGGAGGGGGAUGAAUGAACGCCAAAUAAUAUUGGAAACUUAACUUUGAACAAAAAUCGAUUUCAACAAUUUCAUAGCCAUCAGAAAAAGUAAAAGCCCCAGAAGAACAAGCUUCUCAAAUCAACAAAUCAUUGUCCUUACAAUAGGAAACGGUCCUUCAACUUUGAAGAAAAAAAGAGACAAUAAUCUAUUUGAAUAUUUUUCCAUGCUAAUAAUAUCUGAGACCUUAGUGUGAAAUAGAGAAGCAUCGAACUUAGUAACACUAACAUCCUCUAAAAUUGGCGUACCCAAUCACUUGCCAACCCAAAAAGAGUUAUUAGAUCCAUUCCCGAUCACCCAACAGGAAUUUUGAAACAAAAUAGGGACAAUAUAUUUAGUUUUGAAUCUUUUGAUGCAUCGAACAACCCUAAUAAGCUUGAACAAAAUGGGAAAUUAAUUAGUUGCUAACAUGCUUGGAUGCCUCACUAACCAACCAAAUUAGUAUUUCAGUUAAGGAACCCUUCCACAUGGAAUCUCACAUGUAGAUUGAUUCAAUACAUAGAUGAAAACAAAUGUUAUUUUAGUCUCUCAAGAGCUUGAAUUGCUUUGACGCAUUGGACUGUUUUUCUAUCUGAUGAAACAUUAUUGGGCUUGAAGUUCUGUAAGCAAUAAAGAGAGCUAAUUUGGGCUUGAGUUUGAUUUUUUAUUUUUUUGUCAAUGGGCUUGAGUUUGUUUGGCAAAGGAGCUACCUCUAUACCUCCCUCCACGUCUUAUUUUUUCAUAUGCAAGGUGAUGUGAACUUCAAGUGCCAAAAUUGGUCUUUGACACCUAUUUUCCACCGCCAACCAACCCUCUCCCUGCUUUUGUGACAUCAACCGUAUAUAAAUACGUUUUACCGCAGUUGAUAUUUGUUCAUUCUACUACGGAUUUAGUUUCCACUAAUUCUCUUUCUCCUUGAUAACUAAAUCAGUUGGAAGAUAAAACAUUUUAAAUAAUAGGAAAACUAAUGAAAAAUGCUUGAAAACUUUGAGUUUUAACGAUAAGGACAAAAUAAAAGGUAAAAUAAAUAGUACCAUAUUUGACCUUUUAGUGUAAAAAUGUGGUUUUUCAUUAAAGUGAACAGUACCGCGGGCUUUUUAUUAAAACUUCCUUUAAUAAUACUACACUUAAUUAUCCUUAAAACCUUUCUUUCUCCAUGUAAUUAUAUAAUAAUAAGGAUUUGAUCUAAAAAUCAAAUUCUAAUACGAUAAUCCCUAAGAUAAGAUUGUCGAAUGAGUACGAGUUAUGGAUGAGUAUGACAAUCCAUUUAUAUUCAAUUGAUAUAUACAUAGUGAUAUUGAUGCGCAAUCUAUUUUAAUUCAAGGCAAAUCAAAUUACGUCGGAGUUGUCUUACUAGUGUCGGAUCUAGAAAUUUUACUUAACGGAGCAAAAUUAGGAAGAAUUAAACACCAAUCUUAUCAAAUUAAAAAGUAAAAAUAACAAAUAACCCACAAAAUCUUAACGUGUCUAGGCACACGCUCAACUUGCCAUAUUUUCUCUCCUAAACAAGGAUUUAGUGUGCACGGGUUGCGCAUGACCAUGUUGUGUUUAAUGACGUCAUAACGAGACUGCAACAACAACAGUAAAAUUAGGUCAAAGGCUGAUCAUGCACAACUUAGGAUGAAUCGUUAUAGUGUCAGUGGAAUAUUAAAGUAUCGUUAUAGUGUCAGUGGAAUGUUAAAGUAUCGUUAUAGUGUCAUUGUAGCAUCUUAGACUGUCAUUAGAAUGUUAUUACGACGUCAUUAGAUUAAACCAAAUCAUUGUGUGCAGUUGAGAAAAUCUACUCAAUUUACUUCUUACGCAUGAGCUCACACGUAAGACCGCACAAAUUAAUAUAAAAAUCGAAAGCCUCACAAAUUAAUUUUGAAGUAAAUUUUAGAAUAGUGUCAUCCAUACAUUUGUUUUGGUCGUACAUUUGUUUUUAUCGCAACAAUUUUUUGUUAAACUUUUAUCAUUAAUUUUUUGUAAUUUAUAUAAUUAGGCGGUUUAAAAUUAAAAGAAAAGUAAAAAAUUAAGAAAAAUAUAAAAAGUUAAAAUGAACGGCUGGAUAAAAAAUUCUCAAAUUUUAAUGUUAAUAUUUUGAAUUUGAGCACCACUUCCUGCUUUCCUCUCUCUCUUUUUUUUCGUUCGGCCUUUGGUUUUGGGGAUCGCCAUCCCCAGGAGCUUCUCCUUCGUCAACAAAAAGGUAUGAUUUCCAAUUUUCCAUUUGUUUUUUAUAUUAUUUUUCAUCGUCUUUAGCUGCUUUUGAGAAUUGAUCGAAACACCUAGAAGAAGUUGGAAUUUUCAGUCAAGAACUUAGCCGGAUUAUUUUCCGAUCAAAAGCUUAUAGAAGAAUUAACUGCUAGUUAUUUUCAUUAAGGUUUGUUGUUUUAUAACCUUGUUCUAGUUCCUCUGCUCGGCGGGCUUCUAAUUGUUUUGAUGAAUAAAAAUUUGAAUUUUGAUUCAGGGUGUGUUAUCAAUUUUUUGUCAAAUUAGAGCUUUUUCUUAUGUAUUAUGUGUAAUUGUUUCAAAGGGUUGGUUUUUUUUCCAUGGAAAUGACAAAGAUUGUUGCUUUUUCGUGUUUUAAUCGUGGUGCUUUUUUGCGUUUUCAGGUUUUGCUUUACAAAUUUGAGCUAAAUUAUGGGUAUUGUAUAGAAGGUCGUUGCGUUACGGUUUGUUUGCAUAAUUUCAGCGUUGUCUUGGAAGCAAAAGCCCAGGGAAUGCUGGAAGAUGUGCCUAAGUGCGGACUCUGCCUCACAACUCCAUGAGGUUGUGUCUAUAAUCGAACUGCCCUUCUUGAUUCUUGCUGGUGGGGAACCCGUAAUUCAUAGCUGGUUUGUUCUCGGUUCCCAGAAGCAAGUUGGGCCUCUUAUUAUGCACGCAGCACCGGUUGUGUUAAUGCAUGACCAUUGUGAAGAUGGUUGAGCUUCUGGUGGUAUUAUAAACUCCUGCUCUGUAGAUUGUGGAUCAUACGCAGGAGGAAGUAGUGUAUUUAUUGUUUAUUAGGUUUAGAUCGGGAUGGAGAAUAAAUCGCAUGUGCUGAUGCAAAGAUAUGAGCUAGGGAGAUUGCUGGGUCAAGGCACAUUUGCCAGGGUUUACUAUGCAAGGAGCUUGAUAACUAAUCAGGGUGUGGCCAUUAAGGUUAUUGACAAAGAAAAGAUUAUGAAGGUCGGGCUGAUGGAUCAGAUCAAGCGAGAAAUCUCUGUUAUGAGACUGGUUAGACACCCUAAUAUUAUACACCUCUACGAGGUCAUGGCAACCAAAACUAAGAUAUACUUUAUCAUUGAAUAUGCUAAAGGUGGUGAGCUGUUUAACAAGGUCGCUAAAGGAAAGCUGAAGGAGGAAGUUGCAAGGAAAUAUUUUGCGCAGUUAAUCAAUGCUCUUGAUUUCUGUCAUAGUAGGGGUGUAUAUCAUCGGGAUAUAAAGCCAGAGAACUUGUUGCUCGAUGAGAAUGAUAAUUUGAAGAUCUCUGAUUUUGGGUUAAGUGCCCUCGCUGAAUGCAAGCACCAAGAUGGGCUACUCCAUACCACGUGUGGUACUCCUGCCUAUGUUGCUCCAGAAGUUAUUAACAGGAAAGGCUAUGAUGGUGUGAAAGCUGAUAUUUGGUCUUGUGGGGUUGUUUUGUAUGUAUUAUUGGCAGGCUAUCUACCAUUUCAUGAUUCAAAUUUGAUGGAGAUGUACCGGAAGAUUGGGAAGGCAGAAUUUAAAUGCCCAAAUUUUUUCUCACCAGAGGCACGUAGGCUACUGUGCAAGAUGUUUGAUCCAAAUCCCAAUACUAGGAUUUCCUUAGCCAAAGUUAGGGAAAGUCCUUGGUGCAGAAAGGGGCCAUACUCAAAAAAUAUGAAAUCUGAAAUGGGAAACAAGGAUGUGGCUCGUACGAGCGCAGAAGCUUCUACUUCCAGUGAGAAUAUUAUGGCUUCUGAGGAAAAGCAAGAACCAGGAAGACCUCCGAACUUGAAUGCUUUUGAUAUUAUCUCCCUUUCUGCUGGAUUUGAUCUGUCUGGCUUGUUUAAAAAAGAUCCUUUUUACAAAGAAGCAAGAUUCACUUCCAGACAACCUGCGAUGGUCAUCAUCUCCAAGUUAAAAGAAAUGGCUAAGCAACUGAAGCUGAAAGUGAAGAAGAAGGAUGACGGAUUGUUGAAAAUGGAUGGAUUAAAGGAAGGUAAAAAGGGGAUUUUGUCCAUAGAUACAGAGAUAUUUGAAAUCACUGCAACUUUCCAUCUUGUCGAGGUGAAGAAAUCAAGUGGGGAUACUUUGGAAUUCCAGAAGAUGUUGGACGACAUAAGACCUGCUCUCCGAGACAUAGUCUGGGUUUGGCAAGGUGAGGAAGAGCAACAGCUGCAGGAGGAGCAGCAACAACAACAACAAGAAAUCCAGCCACAUCCACAAGAAGAUCAACUGCCUCAGCAUCCGCCACAAUAGUAAAGUUACCAGCUUUCCCCAUGGUAUCAUAUUUUUGUUUGUACAUUUUACAGUCUGAUAAGUUUUCAACUUUGCAUGUUUGUCCUUGCAAGUGUCAUGACCGGCUUAAUAAACUUUGUUCCUCUUAUACGUACAUGAUUACAAUGAUAAUAUGAAAUCUCGAUUGUUGUUUUUGACAUGCUUGCAUUUUUCUGCAACCAUGAUCUAUUCAUGGAUUUCGAUACCAGUUCUAUAAUUUGACGAUAUUUGGAGAAUUAGUCAAGUCAAUAAUCACAGGAUAAGCACCAGUUACUCUGCUUUUCUUGCCGCAUAAACCGCUUCUGCAUUGGGGAGCUGGAGUCGUCAAAUCUAUUUCUUUUUAUUUCUCAUCAAACGAAUGGUAUUACCCCGGCUCCACAAGGCCUGAGAUAGCUUUUUCCGGGUGACUGAUCAUCACCGCAACCAUAGUUGUCAGUUGUCACCCUGCACGUUGGCUCAAUACAACGCUACUGGAAUUCAUAUCAUCAUUUCAUCCCCUUCCAUAUAUUCAUUUCGAAAAGGUCAUCAGAUAGUUUAAUGCAUUAAGGAUGCUCAAACUCUCACCUUCAUCUGUUCCGGGAGGCGAGGACAACCAACAUAAUGCUUGGUGUACUGGCUGGAAAACAAGUUUCUAAUAAUGUUAAAAAUUGAGAGGGGCAAGAAGCACCCCCCCCCCUCCCUCUCCCCUUCUCUCCUUUUCUCCGUUGAUGAAUCAAAGAAACAAAUUUCACUUUUUUAUUAGUAACAGAAAGGUCAUGGUUUGAGUCGUGAAAACAACUCUUUGGAAAACAAGGAUAAGGCCCAUAAGGGUGUGUACGAUAGACGUUCUUUGUCCCCCCCCCCACCCUCGCAAAACGAGGAGCCUUGUUGUCUUGGAGCCACCCUUUUAGUAGUAACAGCAAAACUAUGUGUACACGAAUAAGUCCUCCUAGGGUUUUAAAGCUUGCAGCAGCCUUGCCUGACUGACUGCUUUUUAUAUAGUUUGGUUGUGCCAGACCCAUUCAAAUUGAAACUGGAAAAAGACCUUCACAUUAAACGUAAUAAGAACAUAGUUCUCAAAAAAAUUGGAAUUUGGAACGUUCCCGAAUGCCAAUCUUUAUUAAUCCUCAAAUAAAUUUGAUCCCGGUCGAUCAAUAUAAUCUGGAACCAAAUUGAUCCCAGAUUUGGUACAAACUAGAGUCGAACCAAACUGGAAACACCCUCAGAUGAAACACAAUUAAGUAUUUUAGAGUCCCAAUAGCAGGCCCUUGAAUAAAAACGAAAGUGCAUAAACAGAUGCAAACAACAACAACAACAAAGCCUUAUUCACUAAGUUGGUUAGGCUGGCAAUUGAAGUACAACCCCUUGAACCGACGCCAUGUAUUUUCAUCGACGCACCAGACAAGUCACUACAAGCUUUCACCAUCUUUUGAGAACCUGUAACAAGAAGUUUCAUUGUGCUCAAUGCUCAUGCAUGGCUCUGAGAAAUGUCUCUAAGGAAGGCACUGAUGUUCGUUUGAGAUGAUCCGCCUUCGUCAAUGGCAUGACAUAUCUGCUUAAGUUCUUUGGCCCUUCUCCUCAUCUCUCUCCCUUCAUCAUCCUCCAAAUCCAUAAACUUCUGCGCCAGCCCAGCAAUCUCCUCUCUUGUCACCAAAUGGUCCAUUCUGUCCUCAGCCUUCCUCAACCUCCACCCAACUUUCCAAUCCUCCACAAUCAUAUUACUAACCAUGCCUUGAUCCAUAAGUAACGGAAACGUCAGAAACGGGACACCAGCAAAAACAGCUUCCCUAACUGAGUUCCAACCACAAUGUGUCAAAAACCCACCAACACUAGAAUGGCACAAAACCCUCAACUGCUCACACCAAGGGACUACCAAACCCAUGUCGCCACAAGCAUCUUUUAACCUAUCCGUUUCCCCACGAGCCACCCAAAUGAACCGAACCCCACUCAUGCGUAAACCUACUGCAAUCUCAUCCAUUUGGGCACCUGAAAAAGAAAGAAAACUUCCCAUGGAGAUGUACAGAACAGAGCUGCAAGGUUGAGAAUCUAGCCAUCGUAGAUAGUCGAUGCCAGCACUCGGGUGAUCGUUAGAUUUUCCGUAGGGUAUUAAUGGACCAACUGUGUAAAUGGGUAGUGAGAACUUUGAUCUUAAAACGUCGAUGACUUGGGGUUCAAGCUCAUAGAUGGAGGGGAAUAAGAGAGACUGUGCUUUAGGCACCCAUGAGAAAUCUUCGUGGAUGUGGUGGAGAAUCCUUGGGGAUAUUCGAUUCAUGAAAUGAGGCAGGUCUGCUAGUCGUGUUGAAGAAACUCCUGGGAUGUAGUCCACCCGUUCAUUGCCCCUCUCUAUAAACACACAGGAGAGCAAAAAAAAUUAGAAAACGACAUGGAGGGCACAAAAUUGUGACCCAUGCGGUGAAAAACUUUCUUACAAACUCAUGAACUUUGUUGUUAAGACUUAAGCAUGCUCGAUCUAGUCCAAAUCGAACUUCAUCCUAAUUUUGAGCAAGUUAUGGGUUAACAUGUUAUUUUAAAACAUUGAAGCUCUUGAAAUGACCGUUUCACCAUUCCACAUGAGACACACACCGGUAAAACUUAAAAAGAGAACAAAAUUAGAUUGUUAAGUUUGAUAUGGAUGAUAUCGACAAGAAGUUUAACCACAAGGGCAUUGUUAACAUACAUUGAGCUUUGAUCCCAAAAUUAGGAGAGGCUAUCUAGAAAUUCUUUUAUUUUAUUUACACAAGCAUAAAAUUAGGGAGGAAUAUCGAUCACGUACCCAUAAAAAUGUAUAAGGCUAAAAAUAUGGGACUUGGCUUCUCUGUCCUCUCACUUCCCAUACACUCUUAUCUCCUCCUAUUUGUGCGGUCACGGUUAACUCACGUCAACAUUUUAUAUUACUAUUGUUUUUUAUCUUAUUAUUUCUAUAAAAAAAUCAAUAUAAAAUGUUGACGUAACUUAACCGUAACCGCACAAAAUAGGAGGGGAUUGAAGUGUAUGGAAAGUGGGAGGACAAAGAAGUCGGUUCCAAAAAUAUGUGUUAACUUACUACUUAAUCUAAUGGUACUUCUCUUUUCAUGGCGCCAGAUAUCCAAGCUUUCGACUUUCUAGCUAUAUUUAUAUAGCUACAAUUUUUAUAUUACGUAUAUACUAGCAUAGGCUGUAUAGCUAACUAAAAUAACUAAAAAUCAGCACCAAAAAGGAAAGAAAGAACAGAUAAAAAAACAACAUUCUUCAGAACAAUCAGAUAUGUUACCCAAAAGAGAAGUCAAUGUGACAGAGACACUAACCUAACAAUUCAACCGGAUAGUGCCCAUUUUGCGCUAAAAGAUCAAAAUGUUGGAAAACGGAGAAAAGGGACGCCGGCAUCGGCCAAAACGACGCCGCCGGGAUACUCCUCCGGUUCCCGACACGGACCGCCCAAGGCAGGAAAGUGUCGGCCACGAUCAGGCACGGAGGCGGCUCGAGCCGAUCCAUGAGCCGCUCGAACGGGGCCUCCAUCUUCGUCAUGAUGGCGUCGAUGAAGCCAUCCAUGUCGGCGGCGCGGACCAGCUCCGACGGGACGACGUUGGGAAUCGUGGUGAGUCGAAUGUUGUCCGGGGUGGCUUCGGAACCGAUGAAGCCGAGCCAUUCCUCCGUGACGACGAAGGUGAUGAGAAUGUCAGGCUUUUGUGAAGUCAGUAGCUUGCAGAGGUUCAUCAUCGGGUUGAUGUGGCCCCGACCGGGAUACGGCAUGGCCACCACGUGGCAGAUAGGGGCUCUCUGGUCUCUGGCGGGGUUCAUGUCUGCGUUUAUGAAGAAGAAGAUGUAACUUUGUAGUUAUAACUUAUAAGAGUGGUUAUAUAGAGAGGUAGGUACAGAGGAGAAAGAAGGCAGUUCGAACUGAAAUUAAGUUGGGGUUGCUUGAUGGGUAUGGUUGGCGACUCCAUUGAAUAUUCAAGGUUCCGUAUUUGGCUUGCUUGCUUGAUUUGGUAAAGGGAUUCUCUUGUGACGGAUCCAAGACGAUUAUGGCAUUUUUAAUGAUAAAUUGUUAAUUAUGAUGUUUAUAUUAAGAAAGGAAAAUUGUUAUUGGUAUUCUACAAUUGUCAUUUGACACUACAAAUUUUUUAUGUUUAGAAAGAACAAUACACGUGUGAAAUGCAAAUUGAGAUUUAUAGAGUCUAAGAACGGUUUUCUAAGACUAUCUCCAACACUUGGGCUAAAAGUUAAAUUUUUUAGUCCGGAAAAUUUAGCUUUUGGCUUAUAUCCCAUAAACAGUUUUUUUACUCCAACCCUUCUGGCCUAAAAUUUUAGCUCAGGAUUAUUAAAGAAUGAAUUUAGGCUAAUUUUUUUCUUAAAUUAACUUUAAAAAAAAUUAUGUAGACUAUCGUAAAUUAAUUUUACGAACAUUUUAAGCUAAAAAUAUUUAAAUUCCGAUUAAUAUUGAAAAAUUACUAAAUCGAUAUGUGAAACUCAUGAAACACUGUGAUGAAUAUGAAAAUCAUGAUAGAGAUGUAUAAACACAAAAUACAUAAAACACACAAGGUACACAGAACACAUGUGAAACACAUACAAAACACAUUUAAAACACGUACACAUGUGAAAGACAUACAAAACACAUGAUAGAGAUGAAGCACACAUAUAACACAUGUGAAACACAUGACACACACGAAACACAUACAAAAUACAUACAAAGCAAGCCUUCAACUUUCACCAAUCGAUCAACUUUCACCAAUCUUUCAACAAACUUUCAACUUUCACCAAUCGUUCAAUUUUCACCAAGGAUUUGGUUGAGCAUGUAUGGCGCCGAGAAGGUGAACGUUGAUGAUGUUAGUUAAGCAUUUAUGAACGUUGAUGAUGCUGGUUAAGCAUUUAUGUAAUAAUUUUAAAUAUACUAUGUUGGUAUUUUCUAGUAAUAAAUUUAAGUGUCUUCUUGUGCAAAGUAUUUUGUGUAGUACAUUGGAUAAAUUAUUGAAUGGAGAUUGAAUUAUUGAAGACAUCUAUUCUACAUCAAAGUGCGGAAUAAUAAAUACAAUAAUUAUUGAAGGCAUCUAGAUUAAUAUAAACAAUAAUUCAUAAGCCAUAAAUUUAAUACACAUGACAAUUAAUAAAGUACAUAAACUUAAUACAAACGACAAUUAAUAAACCACAUAAACCACAUAAACUUAAUAUAAUCGAUAAUUCAUACACUACAUAAACUUAAUAAUGAUAUCUACUAUCUUGACUUGGUGGUGGACUUGGGAUAUAGAGUUGAGAUGAUAUACUCCUUGUAGCAUACUUUCGCAAAAUUUCAUUUUGCUUACCACGUAAGAACUUCUUCAUUUUUAGAGUGUAUUUGUUGAGGUCCUCAAUCAUGAAAUUAAUUUCAAACCUAUCUUGCUCCCUAUCCCCUUCUUCCUUCAUUUGCAAACGCAUUUGGGCCGCUUCUUUUUUGCGAGCGCUAUGGGUUUCGCUCAAUCUUGCAAUUAUUUUAGUUAUUUUAGCCGUUGGAUUUAAAUUUGGGCCGUUAGAUUAUUUUUACCGUUAUAUUUGAUUAUUUUCGAUCUCAGCCGUUGGAUUCAAUGUAUUUUAAAAUUACAUUUUUUUUAAAAACAAAAUUUGAAUUUGGACCGUUGGAUCAACCAACCAAUGGUUCGUAAAGCCCAGCUGUAGGAUGUAGAAAAGAGCCGUUGGGCUCUGGUUGGUGGCCGACAGCGGCCCUGAUAGUGGGCCCCCCUGUCAGGCGCUGAAGCCAAACGGCUCGUGUGGGGCGAGUGCGCAAGUGAACGGGCCGAGAUUGGGCUCCCUUUGGGUGAGUCCACGCGUUUGUGGGCUAUUUCUUAGGGGGGUAUUUGGCCUUGGUUUGGCAUUUGGCUUGGGUUGGGUUUUUUUGGGGGGGGGGGAGGGUGGUAUAAAUGAGGUAAUUUGGCAAAUAGCCCAGGGUUAAGUGUGGUCUAAGAAAGAUCAUUUAUAUAUGUUGCGAAACUUUUCAAACUCUUUUAAAAUCUUUCCAAAAUCUCAAUUGAAUAUGUAAUCUUUUAAAUGUGUUAUUCAUGUUCAAAAAGUAUUAGACUAUUAAAAUACUGAGUCAGGUAUCAACACUUAAAAGUGAACAAGUGCAUGUGUGGAUCCACGUAGGUACGAGUGGUCCUGAGACAAACCUGAGGUAGGAAAAAAAAGCUAGUGAAGGUCCUUCGUGGACUAUUCAGAUGUUUUGUGUCCAUCCAAUGUUUAAUGAAUGAAUGUUUGGCAUAUAUAGAUAUCAUUUUGCUGGACGUGUCGAUUUCUCUUAACACAAGUUGCAUCAAUCAGCAAAGGAUCUCGACAGCACUUAGUAGAUACAUCUACGUGGCACGGCUCGAUAGAGGACAAUAAGCACAUCAAGCGCUCGACGUAAUUUCCUUUUUGAAACAAAAAAAAAAAAAAAAAACUAAAACAAGAUCUGCACGUUGCGUGCUAUCUUUGUUAGAAAAAUGAAGAUCAUUAAACCAAGACCCCUCAAGGUUAGAAUUUUGAAUCUGUCAAUUAACAUGUGCCUAGAAGUUUUAAACACUUUCAUCACAAACAUCAACAAAAAGUAGAGUUUUAUUUGAUAGAAAAAGAGAACAAAACAAGAAAUGCUCAAUCCUCACGCACGCCCUCUGCGAAAUGACUAAUGAAGGCCUUGAUGAUGGUAUGAGAUGAUCCACCUUCUGCAAUGGCAUCAUGACAUAACUGCUUAAGUUCUCUGGCUGUCCUCCUCAUUUCCUCCCUUCAUCAUCCUCCAAAUCCAUAAACUUCUUCACUAACCCUGCAAUAUCCUCUGUUGUCACUAUCCUCAACCUUCCUCACCCUCCAUCCAACCCUCAAUUGGUCACACCAAGGCACUACCAACCCCAUGUCACCACAAACCUCCUUUACCCUAUCGGUUUCCCCACGAACCGGCCAAAUGAACCGAACGCCACUCUUGCACAAACCGGCUGCAAUCUCGUCCAUUUGGAGUCGGACGCUAGAAACUGAAAGGAAACUUCCCAUGGCGAGGUACAAAAUGGAUGCAGGAAAAUAAGCAAGGGUCUCGAAGAGACGAGGGAUAGAACCUGGGAAUCGCUCAACCAAAGGCAACGGAGCUUGCUCAACCUCGCUAAUCGUGAAUUCACUCACACGAUCAAACCAAACGCUUGAUUUGAGAAGAAAGAAAAUACUCUUUUCGGUUGCACAAAGCAAUAUAUUUGUAAUUAAUCGUCUCCCAAAUGCUUGUAUUUCAUCAUAAGAGACUCACCAUAAUUUAGAUGAACUUAACAAAUUCCCGAAGUAAUUAAAAUAGACAGCCUUUAUUAUUCCCAAAGCAUAGUAGUGGUCUUCAAAUUGUUUUCUUCAAGGCCUGCCUCUCCCUCAUAAAAAACUGAGCUACAAGGUUGAGAGUCUAGCCAUUGGAAUAGUUAGCAUCACUAGUUACUUGGGUAGGAGGGUCAUUUUGCUCAUAGUAGGGUAUUGAUGGGCCCAUAGUGUAAAUGGGUAGUGAUAAUUCUGAUCGUAAAAUGUCGAUGGUUAGGGUUUCAAGUUCAUAGGAGAUGGCAGAGAAUAGCAGGUAUUGUGCUUUAGGUACCCAGGAAAAUGAGUUAAGCAAGAAUAUUUCGGUUGCUUUCAUAGAUGAACUGAGGGAGGUGCGCUAGUCGUGUCGAAGAAACUCCGGUAAUGUAGCUCACACGUUUAUUUCCCUGAUCUGUUAACAAUGCAAAAUUGUUGUUAUAAGUAGCAAACUUACACAAUAAAAACGAAAUCUUAAACGAAAUGUUAGACUUACAACACGAGGAUGUGCUCCUGUCAUAUACGUAAAACUAUCAGUUAACACUCACUAAUAUCUUAAGAAAAAUGUUCUCUUCCUGCACGUUGGCUCAAUUCAACACUACUGUCAUCAGAAAUUGUGGUAGCGACACUCAGAAGAUGGCACUCUCACCGGUGAUGUAAUAAAACCAAAUUGCAGUGUGCAAUCUUCUCUUACUUCUUGAUUGCAUCCAUAUAUGGAAGCUAGAACUUAAAAAUAAGUCCUCCAGGGAUUUUAAAGCUUGCAGCGGCCAUGCCUAACUGCUUUUUAUACAGUUUGGUUGUGCCAGACCCGUUCAAAGUGAAACAGGAAACACCCUCAUAUGAAACAUAAUAAGAACAAAAUUCUCAAGAAAAUUGGAGUUUGGAAAGUUCCCGAAUUCCAAUUUUUAUUACUCCUCAAAUGAAUUUGAUCCCAAUCAAUCAAUAUAAUCGGGAACCAAAUUGAUCCCAGGUUUGGUUCCCAACCAAACUGGAUACACCCUCAGAUGAAACACAAUUAAUUAUUUUAGAGUGCCAAUAGCAGCCCCUUAAAUAAAACCAAAAGUGCAAAACCAGAUACAAACAACAACAAAAAAGCCUUAUCUCACUAAGUGGAGUCGGUUGGCAAAACUAGAUGCAAACAUUCCACAUAGUUGAGAAUGCACUUGAAGUACAACCCCUUGCACCGACAGUUUGUAUUUUCAUCGACGCACAAGACAAAUCACUACCAGCUUUGCACCGUCUUUUGAGAACCAGCAACAACAAGAUUCAGUGUGCUCAAUGCUUAUGCAUGGCCUUGAAAAAUGUCUACAAUGAAGGCAUUGAUGUUCGUUUGAGAUGAUCCGCCUUCUUCAAUAGCAUCAUGACAUAUCUGUUUAAGUUCUCUGGCCCUUCUUCUCAUUUCUCUCCCUUCAUCGUCCUCCAAAUCCAUAAACUUCUGCGCCAGCACAGCAAUCUCCUCGCUAGUCACCAAAUGGUCGAUUUUGUCCUCAGCCUUCCUCAACCUCCACCCAACUUUCCAAUCCUCCACAAUCAUCUUACUAACCAUGCCUUGAUCCAUACGUAACGGAAAGGUCAGAAACGGGACACCAGCAAAAACACCUUCCCUAACCGAGUUCCAACCGCAAUGUGUCAAAAACCCACCAACACUAGAAUGGCACAAAACCCUCAAUUGUUCACACCAAGGCACUACCAAACCCAUGUCGCCACAAGCAUUUUUUAACCUGUCCGUUUCCCCACGGGCCACCCAUAUGAACCGAACCCUACUCAAGCGCAAACCGCCUGCAAUCUCAUCCAUUUGGGCACCUGAAAAUGAAAGAAAACUUCCCAUGGAGAUGUACAGAACAGAGCUGAAAGGUUGAGAAUCUAGCCAUUGUAGAUAGUUGAUUCCAGAACUCGGGUGAUCGUUGGAUUUGAUGUAGGGUAUUAAUGGACCAAUUGUGUAAAUGGGUAGUGAGAAUAUUGAUCUUAAACGUCGAUGACUUGGGGUUCAAGCUCAUAGAUGGAGGGGAAUAAGAGAUAUUGUGCUCUAGGCACCCAUGAGAAAUCUUCAAGGAUGUGGUGGAGAAUGUUUGGGAAGAUUUCACUAAUGAAGGGCAGGUCUGCUAGUCGUGUUGAAGAAACACCUGGGAUGUAGUCCACACGUUCAUUUCCCCUCUCUAUAAACACACAGGAUAGCAUAAAAAUUUAAAAACAAAAUGGAGGGCACAAAAUUGUGACCCAUGUGGUGAAAAAGAUUCUUAGUACAAACUGAACUUUGUGGUUAAGCAUGCUCGAUCUAAUCCAAAUCGAACUUUGUAUCCUAAUUUUGAGCAAUCUAACCGGAACUGGAUCCAAAAGGAUCUGAGUCCAUUAAUUAAUGAAUCUGGACCAUUGAUAUUUGAUACAACGAUUACAAUUAUUAUAACUUUAAAUGAAUCUUCUGUUUGUAAUCGUUAGAUCAAAUUUCAAUGAUCCGAAUUCAUUGAUUAGUGGGCUCUGGAAUGAAUCUAGUUCCAAUUUAACCCAUGUGGACAUCAUGUGCAAAGAUGAAAAGAUCAUUUUAAGACGUAUAAGCUUGUUAAUUUAUAUCUUAAAACUUGCUUGAAAAGAUCGAUUCACCUUUCUACAGGAAGCACACACUAGUUAAACUUAGUAGUGGACAAAAUUAGAUUGUUAGGUUUGAUGUGGAAGCACACACUGGAAUGAACGUUUCACUCUUUCAUGAAGUACUUUAAAUUCUUUUUCAAGAUUUCUUUGAGUUUUUAUUAAAUAUUAGUUCUAAAAACAUUUUUAUCAAAAAUAUUUUAAAUUAUUUAAAAAUAUAUCUAAAUAAGUUUUAAGAUAAAAAAAUGCGUUCGUAUAAAAAUUAAAAAUUAAAAAAAAAAGGGACAAAGACACUAACCUAACAAGUCAACCGGGAAAUGCCCGUUGUCUGCUAAAAGAUGAAAAUGUUGGAAAAAGGAGAAAAAGGACGCCGGCAUCGGCCAAAACGACGCCGCCGGGAUACUCCUCCGGUUCCCAACACGGACCGCCCAAGGCAGGAAAGUGUCGGCCACGAUCAGGCUCGGCGGAGGCUCGAGGCGAUCCAUGAGCCGCUCGAAUGGGGCCUCCAUCUUGGUCAUGAUGGCUUCGAUGAAGCUGUACAUGUCGGCGGCGCGGACCAGCUCCGACGGGACAACGUUGGGAAUCGUGGUGAGUCGGAUGUUGUCCGGGGUGACUUCGGAUCCAAUGAAACCGGACCACUCCUCCGUGACGACGAAGGUGAUGAGGAUGUCAGUCUUUUGUGAAGUCAGUAGCUUGCAGAGGUUCAUCAUCGGGUUGAUGUGGCCCCGACCGGGAUACGGCACGGCCACCACGUGGCAGAUAGGGCCUGUCUGGUCUUUGGUGGAGUUCAUGUCUGGGUUUAAGAAGACGACGACCUAACUCUGUAGUUGUAUAUAACUUUGUUUGGACCCAAAUUUACAUCAUCGGCCCAUGUAAUCAAAGCCGUUGAGUAAACGUAGUUCUCAACCGUCGGAUGGAAAAGUGGAGAUAAUUUUUAUUGUUAAAGGAUAAUAUUAUGAUUUUUAUCAUAAUAUUUAUCGUUUAAAAAAUUAUCUUGAUUUUUUCUUGUACAAGAUGAGGUGCAAAUUAUAUCUUCAAAGUGAGCAGUACAGUUCUAUUUAAUUUGGGGUUCUUGGGAUUUAAACGUGAGGUAGAUUAGAGCAUCGGAGUAUUUUAUUGUUAUUAUCCAUUUAAAAGUGGGUGAUAAAUGGUGGAUAAAUGUUGUUGAGCACGUAGCUUGGAAUCGAUCAAGAUGGUUUGUUGAGAUGCAUGCAUGAUGCAUGGAUGGGAUGAAAUUAUGAGAUAAAAUGAAUUUAAUAUUCAUUUAAAGGAAGCCUAGAAACGUAGGUCUUUUUGGUGAUGUGAUGAUACGGUAGGCUAGGUUUUUAAUGCUUAUUUCUUGGGUUGGUUCCGUGAAGAUGGAUGGAGGAAAGCAAGUGGUGAAGCCACGUCACCAAAGAUCAAAUCCUUUAUAGAUCAAGUCACGUCAGAUAUGGGAAUUUGAAAUAAGAGUCUGAUCCACGUCAAGAAAUUCUCACGCAAUACUCGGCAGCACAUCCCUAUAAAUACAGAGGCAGUAGCAACGAAGAGAACACCCCCACAAAAUCAAUACAAAAUUGCCCUGCGCAAACUUUCACAACUUGUGAUUUUUUUUUUUUCCUUUUUCGCUGACACAUCUUCCGUUGGCAUCAACAGCACUGUGGAAGCAACCGGUGAUAUCUUAAGUCGGCAUAGAUAGCUCUGUCACCGUAGAGUCAGUCAGUCUCGCAGUACCUUCCGUUGGCAUCAACAGCACUGCGGCGAGAACGAUUGAUUACCUAUCCAAGUCUCGGUCGAGAAGGGUUUCUAAAUCCUUAUUGGUCGAGGUCAUCUCAUCAGCCUUCUCGGCGAAGUGAGGUGUUACAGUUAUUACAUUCGGCACAUUGAAAGCCGAAUUUGAUAUUGAACUUCGUAAGAAUAGUAACCUUGUCUUCAGGUUCGAGAGCCCAAGAGGCCGAGACGUGUUCCUUUCUCGGCCGCAAUCGCAAGACGCAGAAGUCAGUAGCGCGACCCAACGCAACAUCAACAAAUUUACUCCUCGGCCGACGAGUUGGCACGCCCCGCAUUCACCGAAGGACGUAGUUAGCUCAUUAAUUACUCGGCUUGCGCGCCACGUAGGCUUUGUAGUUUCUAGGGUCAACAAACUUAUAAGUGGUUAUAUAGAGAUGGAUAUAUACAGAGGAGAAAGAAGGCAAUUACAUCUGAAAUUAAGUUUCCAACUUUCCAUUGUUGGCUUGGCUUGCUUGAUUUGAUCAAAAUACUCUCUUUUUAUGAAGGACUUAGAUUGUCUGUCCUCACAUCGGCUUAGAUUGUCUGUCCUCACAUCCCAUAUCAUUUCCAUGUCCUUUUAUUUAUGUGGUCAUGAUCAAGGUAUAAAAUAUCGAUGAUAUCGGAAAUAUCGGUAAUUUAAAAACACGGAAAAUUCGAUGGAAAUAUCGGAAUAUUAUCGAUAUCAAUAAAAAUUAAAUAAAAACCACGGAAAUUGUAAGAAAAACUUGGAAAUUUUUAUUGAAACUUUGCAGGAUGUUUAUUUAGUCAAUUAUCUAUUAGUUUAUCCCAAAACAAUUGGAAGGAAAUGCAUUGGAUGAUAAAUAUAACUGAUUUAAGUUGAAUAUAUAACGAGCUGGCAAACAUUGUGAGUGUAGAAAAUAUGUAGUAAUUAAUGAAAAAAGUUUAAACACACCAUAAUCAUUUAUAUAUAAUGAAUUAGUACAAUAUUUUACACUUUAUACAUUGCAUAGUAAGAUACAUGAGUGACUUAGCAAGGUCUAAAAUAUCGAUGAUAUCGGAAAUAUCGGUAGUCCAAAAAAAUAUCGAUAGUCCAAAAACACGGAAAUUUCGAUGGAAAUAUUGGGAUAUUAUGGAUAUUUUAGACCAUGGUCAUGAUUAAGCCACAUCAACAUUUUAUAUUCUCAUUACUUUUUAUCUUCUUAUUCUUUUAUAAAAAAUCAAUAGAAAUAUUGAUAUAACUUAACCGUAACCAUAUAAUAUAAAAGGGCAUGAGACAAACAUGAAAUGGAGAGAACAGACAUUCCAAGUUCUUUUAUGAAAGCUUGCUUGAUUUGAUAGAAAUAUUUUUUUAUAAUGAAAACGAUAAUAUUGCAUUGAUAGCAAAGUUACAAAAAGAAAUGCUAGGGAAGUCUUUCAAAAGUGAAGUUUUUCACAAAUUCUUUGACACUUAACAUUUUUGAGAAUUAUUUUUUAAGAAAACUAAUGAAAAGAGUUUGAAAACUUUGAGUUUUAAUGAUAAGGACAAAAUAAAGAGUAAAGUAAAUAGUAUCAGAUUUGACUUUUUAGUGUAAAAAUGUAAUUUUUCGUUAAAGUGAACAGUACCAUGGGCUUUUCGUUAAAACCCCCUUAUUUUUUACAUUGUUUUAUAAUGUUGAUACGGAAAUUGACGUUAAACUAUGAAGUGACAAAAAAUUGAUAAUGAGUCUCUAUUUUGAAAAAAUCCUUUUAGCAUUUCUCUUUUAGCACAAAAGGAGAACACAAAGGUCAGUCCAUUACCAUUGAUGAACAUCCUCCAAGAUCACAUCGGCUAUAAAGCCGGGAGGUGCAUCUAACCAAAUACAAGGACUAACAGCUCCAAGGGCAUAACGAGCUAGAUGAUGAGCAACAUUAUUGGCUUGACGACUGACUUGGGUAUAAGAAUCCUUAGCGAUCCUCCUCAGCCUCCUCAGUAGGUCUCUGGAAUCUUCAAAAAUAUGGCCAAUGGGAGACAUAUUAAUGGAAGGAUCCUUUAGUGCCGAGAUAAUCUAAAGCAAAUCGCUUGUGAUGGAACAAAGGCGAUUAUAAGUUUUUCACGAUGAAUCGUUAAUUUUUUUGUUUUGUAUGAACAGUUAAAUCAUUUUUAAACUAAAGUACUUUUCUAAAUUAAUUUUUAAAAUAAGAUAAAGAGAAUAAACAAUGUCAACUAUGACGUUCAUUACGAAAGAUGUUGCAUUAAUGAGGAAGGAGAUCUUCCCCCUUUAAUAAGAAUGAACUCUCCAAUAAGAAUGAGAAAUAGCACUAUCCUUCCUAAUAGCACUUAGAACGUGAACAAAUUUCUUUGUUCAAUUAUGUAUAGCAUGUCAAGUUCAUUUUUUUCUUUGUUAGAUAGUGUAGAUGUUAUACUGCCAAGAACGUGAACAAAUUUCUUUGUUCAAUUAUGUAUAGCAUGUCAAGUUCAUUUUUUUCUUUGUUAGAUAGUGUAGAUGUUAUACUGCCAAACUUUUAAAACACUUUUAAAAUCUUUAAAAUUUCAAUAGAAUAUACAGUCUAUUAAACAUGUGAUUCAUGUUCUCAUGGUAAAUACUGAGCCAGGUAUGAACACUUAAAGCAACACAAGUGCUUGGGCAGAUCCACGUAGAAACCAGUGGUCUCGGACGCUCUUGAGUUCGGAAAAAUGCUAGUGAAGGUCUUCUAUGGACUCUUUAGAUGUCUAGUAUGAAUUUUUUUUUUGUGCCAACCAUUUAAUUAAGGUAACUUUAACGAAAAACUCAUAGUACCGUUCAUUUUAACGAAAAACCAUAUUUUUACACUAAAAAGUCAAUCAUUGUACUAUUCACUUUAUUUUUUAUUUUGUUCUUAUAAUUAAAACUCAAAGUUUUCAAGUCAUUUUCAUUAGUUUUCCUUUUAAUUAAUGCAUGUUUGUCAUAUCUCGAUACACUCUGCAUGACGCGUCGAUAUCUGUCGGUAAGAUGCAUCACUCGACAUAUGGUCACGACAGCACUUGGUAGAUCUCAACAUCUACGUAGCAUGCCUCGACAAAGGACGAUAGAAACACCAAGUGCUCCACGAAUUAUGAAUCUGCCACUGAACAAGUGACUACAAGUUUUAAACACUUCCAUAAGAAACAUCAAGAGUUUUAUUUGAUAGAAAAGGAGUUAAGAGCACACAUUGGAAGGAAACUUAUUUAGAUUCUACACUAUUUUACAUACCAGAUACAAGGCUAAUUUGCAUACUGAACCUCCAAGCCCAAGUAGAUAUAUACCACGCACAGCCAUGUUAAAUGGAUCAUGGAUAAGGAAGUCGUGUCUCCAUUUGAAGAUUGCAGGUAGCUUUGCCAAUAUCCCUGAUAAAAUCAUCAAGAUUUGUAUCAGAUGAACCUCAUUUUGCAAUCACUCGGUGUCACAAAUCUCCGAGCUCUUUCGCUCUUCUCCUCAUUUCAGUCCCAUCACUGCUUUCAGGAUCCAUAAAUCUCUUCACAAGUUCAGCAACCUCUUCUCUUGUCAUCAACUUUUCAUCAUGUACCUCUGAUUUAACCCUCUUGCCAAUCUUCCAUCCUUCAACUAUUUGCCAGUUGUUUGGAAUUUGAUCGGGAAAAAGAGGAGAAGUAAGCAUUGGGACACCGGCGAAAACAGCUUCUAAAGUCGAAUUCCAUCCACAAUGUGACCAAAACCCACCCACAGAAGAAUGGCACAACACUUUAAGUUGCUUACACCAUGGCACCACCAACCCCAUACCAUCACUACCACUACAGCUCUCACUCAAUCGAGCCACCUCCCCCAACACAACCCACAAGAACCGAACCCCCGCUACAUUUCAGCCCGGCUGCGAUUUCAUCCAUCUGCAUGUUUGAAACAGAAAGAAAACUCCCCAAUGAGAUGUACAAGAUAGAGGCUAUUGGUUGGGAAUCAAGCCAUUUCAUAUAGUCAAUGCCAUUGUCACCAACUGACACAGAGGAAUUUUUUCCAAGCUCCAAGUAAGGUAUGGCAAGACCAAUUGGGUACACAGGGAAUGGGAGUUUCUCCUGGAAAGUGUUUGUGGCUAGAAUUUCCGUUGGGGAUGUUUCCUAGCGGACGAACACACAGCUCCCCGAGAGGUUGGCGCAGGUUGAUACUUUCUGUCGGGCUUCUGCUCACUGGCGGGCUUGUCGGGCAAAGCUUGUCGAGCAAGGCUUGUCGGGCAAGGCUGAAAGAAAAGGACAUGGUUAACUUUGAAAGGUGUCUUUAUAGGGCCUUAGGUGUAGGCCUUUAGGCUCACAAUUAAGAUUAACUUUUAGGUGUUCAGGCGUGCCAUUGCCAUCUUCAGCAUGGCAGAUGUAAAACAGAUGUUGAGUUUUAAUUGUAUAUAUACCCGAGAAGCUGUUUUAGUUUAUGAAAAGUGCCUUUAUGGGGCCUUAGGUGUAGGCCUUGAGGCUCUCAAUCAAUAACUAACCCAGUACUCGAACAUAUAAUGUUUGUUUCAUUGAUUGCAUAAGUGUUAUGACUAUUAUACUUCUAAUUACCCGAGCCCGAAAAGUAGAAUGAAUCCAAAUAUGUGCCUUUGUAGGGCCUUAGGUGUAGGCCUUGAGGCUUCCCAUCAGAAUUACUUCUAUACUCAAAUGUUCUACGAUAAUCAUAAUAUAACAGAAAUAAAACUAGGAAAUAGGUCGAUUACUUGCGCCCCAAGUAACUUCGGACUUCUUCUUAUCAAAGACUGUCGUGGAUGGGUUAAAUCCACAUAAGGUUCUUUUUUAUGCCUUGAGACCAAGGACUUUUGAAUGAUCAAUCUUACAUGUCCGAGGGUUUAGAACUUAGAUCUUAUUUAAACUGUGAAUACAGAUUCCAAUCGAAUUCAAGAACUGAGGAGUCUUUUAAGCAUUAACUUGCUAGAAAUAACUUGGAUACCAAUGGAAGUAUACAACAUAUUACUAGACUUAUGAAUGAAAAGACAAAAACAAAGAGGGUCGGGCAAGGUUUCACCUUGUCGGGCAAGGCCUGUCGUCUUGCAACUUCCUAUCUUUAUGACUGAUAAAGGGGUUUGAGAGCUUAGAGAAAAGGAUAGGGGGAUGAGUUUACAGAAAGAAAUCGAUACUACAGUAAGAUUUAGACAAGGUAGCAGAGCUUUUACAAAGGCUUUAGGGUUGAUCCCGAAAGGGAUGAAAGCUUGGGCUGACUACGGCUUCGUUGAAGGCAAAUCUGGCUUGAGCAAAGUUUGUGCUUGUAUUUGUUUGUUUGUUUGAGUGUCCUCAUCUCUGAUUUCUCUUUCUUCCUUUAUAGACAGUUUGACUUGGCCUUCUGUAGCAUUAAUCUUGCCUGAAUGCAGCUUGAAGGGCAAUGACUCAUCAGUUUUUUACUUGUACUGCCACUGUAAAGUGAUUUUAGGCUGAUUAGCUGGCUGGUCUACACCACUUGGUCUCUAAGUAGGUGAAUAAGUGGUUCAAAUGAUCUGCACAUAGUCGGGAAAAGGCCUUUUCUGCCUUCUGGGCUUUGGCUGAGCUUCGGGCUCCUUUCCUCCUAGUCCUUCUUUUGGGCCAAUUCCCUUUUGAGCCCAAAGUUCAAGUUUUAACCCAAACAGAAAUAGUGGAAGGUUUCAGGUUCGAGCUUAUAAAUUGUAGUGAACAGAAAACACUGAGCUUUUGGAACCCAUGAAAUGCAUUCCAGAGCAAGCUUCAUGACUUUAGGGUCGAUUCUUCGAAACACUUCUCCAAGGUCUGCUAAAUCAGAUGAAAAAAUCCCUGUAAUUUGGUCUCUAGAAUCUAUCACAUAGAAACAGAAAACUCAAUUUCCAUAUUAAUUUCAAUUUGUUAGAAAAAGGAAGAUCUUUAAAGUAAGACCCCUCAAAGUUAGAAUUUUGAAUCAGUCAACUAACAUGUGCCUAGAAGUUUUAAACACUUUCAUCACAAACAUCAACAAAAAGUUGAGUUUUAUUUGAUAGAAAAAAAAAGAACAAAACAAAGGCAAACAACAAAACAAGAAAUGCUGACCAGGUGGGACAAGGAUUAAAAUACUCAGAACCAGGGAGAAAAAAGUCGACCAGGACCAACAAAGAUAACAAUCGCUGUUCUGGUUUUCUUCCAUUAAUUGUUGUGUUUUCGGCUGGUGAUUUAGUAAUAGGGAUGGUUGGGGAUUGUAUUUCCGCUUUGUUUCUUUAGUAUUAUUUUGGAUCAUUUUCGCCCCUUUCAAGCCCUAAUUAGUUUUUGUCAGAAUUGGGGGAAGGGUUUGGCCCAUGUGGUCCUUGUCUUAAUGGGGAAGCUGAGUUCCCUAAUCCCCGACAAAAUGAGUCGGAAGGGGAAUCUGACACAGAUGAUUAUGCCUGACUGUAAUGAGACGAAACCCAUAACUACUAAAGGCUUCAGGUCUUCAAUUUCCACCGGAUACAGGUUACUCCAACCACCAAUAUUAAUUGCCAUUAUCUUAUAUUUACAACAAACAAAAGAAACUGAUUGUGGGGUGGAAAAGAAUACUAUUUACUCUGUUGUUAGACUGGAAAAAGCCCAUUUGUUGCACUUGAAGUACUCUGCAGUGCAAACGAGUCAAACUUUGCAGCUCAAUUCGGAUAUGGCGCAGCAGGGAGUGGAGGAGCUUAUGGUUCAUUUGGAGAAAGCAAUGGACUUGUUAGCUAUGGAGCAAGGUGUUAAACUUGUGGGUUCGGUGCUAGCGAACAAACCUCUAAACAGAUGGGGAGUGAGGAACAUUCUACGUGCGACUUGGAAGAGUUAUGGUGAAAUAAAGAUCAAAUGGGUAAAAGACAACAUCUUUAUCAUCACGGUCCCAGAUGAAAGUGUGGCAGUAAAGAUUCUUGAUCAGGUGCUUUGGAGGGUUAUGAAAAAAAACUUCUUGGUCAAUAUUUGGCCCGCAGUGCUUGCUUUGGAGGAAGUUGAAGUGGAGAAAGUCCUGUUUUGGGUCCAUAUACGAGGAGUCCCUCUUUGCAUCACCUCUUUAGAGAAUGUCAAACGGUUGACUACAGAGGUGGGGACAUGUAUGGCUAUGGAAGAUCCAGUAAAAACUCGCAGGUUUUUUAAGGUUAGACUUUUGAUUGACUCGACCAAACCACUAGUUACUGGAUGCUGGUUAAGAAGAGAGAAUAAUUAAGAUACGUGGGUAGAAUUUUACUAUGAGAGAUUACAAGAUUUCUGCUAUAGAUGUGGACGCCUAAGACAUGUUAAUACGGAUUGCACUUUUAAGGCAGCCAAAGCCGGGGCAGCAGGUUUCGGAGAUUGGAUGAAGGAACCUCCAGUUAGGGAUGUGACGGAGGUAUCAAAAGUCAUGAUGACAGGAACGGGUGAUCGAAGGAAAGCUGGAGCGGUCAGACUGCCUGCUACAUAUUUAACUUCUUUAGGGACUACUAGGCUGGAUCAUUCCACAGAGUUUUCUGCGGAUAGUGUAAAGGAUAGGGAUAAGGUGCAAGUUCAGGGAGAAGGAAGUGCUAUCCAACCAAAUGGGAGGAAAAAGUGGCAAAUGAGGUCUCGUGACCAGAGACACAUCGAAGGUUCGGUGGGGAUAAAUAAUCAGCUACAUUGGCUUAUUCCACAGGGUGUAAGACAAUCGUUAUGGGGCACUGGGUCUAGUUGCUAUACUUUUUUUAAAAACUUGAAUGUGUAGCAGCCGGGGGCCGGUAUGCAAUCGGUUGUUAUACAUGAGAUCAAUGAGGAGACGACUACAUUGCAACAAGUGGCUGAUAGGGGUAAAGUAAAUGAUCAGGGAGAGGGUGGAUCCUUGACUUUCCCAGACUCUUCUCCUUCGGUUAGAAAUAGACAGAAAAAGGAAAAGGGAACCUCUAGUGAUGGAAAUAUCACAAUCUCCUCAAAAGAAGGGCAGGGGUUCUGAUAAUGCUUUCUCUGUAAAAGAUGCGGGUCUUCUGGCCUGGGAUGGUGGCGGCUGGCCCUCAACAACCGCAAAGUCCCCAUGAUCUUUCUAUUUUGGAACUGCCGUGGUCUGGGGUCGGACAUAGUAGUUCGGGCCCUUCAUGGGCAGAUAAGAAAUGCAAGACCCUCUAUGAUCUUUCUUUCUGAAACAAAGAUGAAAGAUCAUAGAAUUAAUGGAGUACGUAGAAUGAUGGGGUUCACGAAUGGGUUUAAAGUUCCUCCCAUGGGAAGGGUAGGCAGCCUAAGUUUAUGGUGGGAGGAUUCAAUAGAGGUGAACAUUCUCUUCUCCUCUAAACAUGUAAUUGAUGCUCAGGUGAAGUCUUGUGAGAUACAGCAAUGGGUUCGUGUCACUGGGAUUUACAGAACAGCUUAUAGAGGCGAAAAAGCGGAAUUCUGGGGAUGGAUGAAUGAUCACUUUACCUCUUCUGAUAUGCCCUGGCUUUGUGGGGGGGGGGGAUUUCAAUGAAUUUAUUUGGGAUCAUGAAAAAUCGGGCGGAGCUCAUGGCAAGGAAUGAGGAAUGGCGAACUAGUGGAGGAACGUCUAGACCGAGGUCUGAUAAACAAGAAAUGGCAGGAUCUUUGGCCAAAUUCCACUGCUAUUCACGGGACAGUUCUGGGGUCUGACCACUGUCCGGUUAUUAUCAAAACGGAGUUGGAUGGAAAGAAGGGAAGAAAACUCUUCAGGUUUGAAGCUUUUUGGGCGAAGGAAGAUGAUUGCAGGAAGUUGGUGGAAAAUUGUUGGGCCCGGCCGAACUGUGGGGAUGUCCAAAGGAGAUGGGUGAAGAAAAUCUAUGACUGUCGAUCUCUCUUGAUCAAAUGGAGCAGAAACAAAUUUAAAAAAAAAAGGAGAUUACAGAUUGAGGAGUUACUCGGACAGUUGGGGGAACUUCAAAUGAAUUGGAGCACAAAUGUAUCCGAGAUAAAAGAGAAGUCCAAACUUAUUGAUACUAUGUGGGCUCAAGAGGAAAGUUUCUGGCACCAAAGGUCUAGGGUGAAAUGGUUAUGGGAAGGAGAUGCGAACACUAAGUUUUUCCAUCAAUCCACUCUACAGAGACGCGGACGAAAUAUGAUACUAAAGUUAAAAGAUGGUGAAGACAGUUGGGUGGAGAAUCCCACCCAAAUCCGGAAGCUGGUGGAUAAUCAUUUUCUAAAUGUUUUCAAAUCGGGGGGACCUCGGGACUAGAGAAACUUGCUAGAAGGCAUAAAUACUGGAGUUACAGAUGAGAUGAAUAUGGCUCUCAUGGAGUCGGUUUCCUUGGAGGAAAUAAAUGAGGCUGCUUUUCAAAUGGGGGGUCUCAAAGCUCCAGGUCCGGAUGGUUUUCAGGGGAUUUUUUACCGGUCUUUCUGGGAGAUUAUUGUGUAAGAUGUAAACAAUCUAGUGAGGUCUUUAAUGCAAGAUGUGGUCAGCCCGACGGAGAUAACUAACACCCAUAUUGUGUUGAUCCCAAAGAUUCCAAACCCAGAGUCAGUGUCUCAUUUUCGUCCCAUAAGCCUAUGCAAUUAUUCUUACAAGGUGCUAUCCAAAGUUCUGGCUAACAGGUUAAAAGUCAUUCUACCGCAAAUUAUUUCUCCUUCUCAGAAUGCUUUUGUGGCAGGAAGACAGAUUCAGGAUAAUAUUGGGAUAGGACAUGAGGUGUUUCAUUUUCUGAAAGGGCGCAAGUCAAAAAAUAAGUUCGAGUUGGGUAUUAAAGUGGACAUGCAAAAAGCUUAUGAUAGAGUCGAAUGGGAUUUUCUGAAUGCAACAAUGGAAAAAUUGGGUUUCUGCAAACAGUGGAGGAAACUUAUCAUGGGAUGUGUGUCUCCUGUCAAGUUUGCUGUCAUUCUCAACGGGCAUUCCGGAAACAAGUUUGCUCAUUCUAGAGGCUUACGGCAGGGAGACCCUCUAUCACCGUAUUUGUUCCUUCUGAUUGGAGAAGUUUUAUUCAGAUUGAUCCAAGUUGCGGUGGAAAACAAGUCUUUGGAUGAUGUGAAAUUGGGAGUCACUGGGCCAGUUCUUUCCUAUAUUUUCUUUGCAGAUGAUAUGUUAAUUUUUUUUAGAGCAAAUGAGAAAAAUUGCAGGAAUCUUGUCAAUCUCCUUAGGUCGUUCUGUGAUGCCUCAGGUCAGGAAGUAAACUUACAAAAAUUCAGUGUUUUCUUUGGGGCGAAUACUCUGGUGAGAGUUUCUGAGGAGUUGGGAUCUAUUCUUGGCAUGCCAGUAGUUGACAACCCGGGUACUUAUUUGGGAGUCCCGACUUUAUGGGGACGCUCAAAGAAACAGGGCCUCGCUUAUGUGAAGGGGAGAAUUAUAGAGAAACUUCAAGGGUGGAAAAACAGUACCCUUUCGAAGGCGGGCAAAGAGGUCCUAAUUAAGGCGGUUGUUCAGGCUAUACCUGCAUAUCCAAUGAAUAUCUUUAAAUUUCCGGCUAUGGUCUGUGAGGAGUUGGACACUUUGGUUGCUGGUUUUUGGUGGGGAAACAUGAGUGGUGACAAUAAAAUUCACUGAGUGUCGAAGAAGGUCUUGGGCCUCCCUAAGAAUUUGGAGGGUUUGGGCUUUCGAAACUUCAUGGAAUUCAAUGAUGCGCUUCUAGCAAAACAAUGUUGGCGUCUUCUUUGUGAUCCAUCCUCACUGUGUGCUAAAGUGAUUAAGGCUCGUUACUUUCCCAAUUGCUCUUUCUUGGAUGCCAAAAAAUGGGGUAGGGCCUCUUGGGCUUGGAGUAGCCUUCUUAUGGGUCGUGAUCUUCUUAUUAAUGGAACUCACUGGCAAAUUAUGGGAGGUCAGGAUGUGAGAGUCUGGGUUGAUCGAUGGUUACCCUUCAUUCCUUUAGAGCGUCCUUCUCCGCUUGGUGAGGCUAUGGUGACUAGAAACCUUCAUGUUAGCUCGCUUAUUUUCCCUCAGUCUCGUGAUUGGGAUAUCAUUUUUCUACUUCCUUUCCUUUCGAUGGCUGACCAAGAGGCAAUUGAAGGUACGCCUAUUGGGGAUAUUAGUAGACGAGAUCGUUUGAUUUGGGCUGCAACAAAAAAUGGUAGGUACACGGUAAAAUCUGGGUAUAGAUGGUUGCAAUCAAGGUCUCUGAGCAUGAGAGAUCAUCGCCUACCUCUUGUUCGAUCUAUCCCGGAGAAGCUGUGGAAUUGUAUAUGGAAGGUCGAUGUUCCACCAAAGAUCCGCCAUUUUCUAUGGAACUCUAUGCACAAUAUCGUGGCAACUAAAGCGAAUCUGUACAAGAGGCGGUCUACCACUUCCCCCACCUGUCCUAUUUGCUUGGGCGAUGACGAAAUUGUUGAACAUUUAUUCCUUGUCUGCCCGUGGGUUCAAGCUGUUUGGUUUAGAGGGGUUUUGGGUUAUAAGAUAAACAGGCUGGCUAUUAACUCAUGGAUAAGUUGGUUGCAUGAUAUUUUUAAUCCUAAUAUUGGUAAUUCUGUUGAGUUAUUAUGAAUCCAAAGGAUGGUGGCUUACAUUUGUUGGUAUAUUUGGAAAGCCAGGUGUGCUUUUGUGUUUAACCAGGUGCGAAUCAACCCAUUAAAUGUUGUUUUGGCAAUCUCUAAUGCGGUGAGGUCUUUCCUGGCUGUUUCCAACGAUUCGGUGGUUUCUAGGGUUUAGGAGUGUGUCGGCCAGGCUCCAGGCCGAGCCACUUUUUGGGUUCCUCCUCCUCCUCCUUUCACUAAAAUAAAUGUUGAUGCCAGCUGGUUCAAGAUGUCGUGUUUGGGGUUUGUGGGAGUGGUUUUACGAGACACUGAGGCUCAUUUCAUUGCGGUAGCUCGAUACCACAUUCGGGCCCCAUGUGCUGUAGUUGCCGAAGAUUUGGCUUUGCUUCGCGGAUGUGAACUGGGUGCAGCUUUGGGUUUUUCUGAGGUAAUCCUGGAAUCUGACUCUUCCGAGGCGAUUUCUUGCCUCUCAAAUUCUAUGAAGAAUGGCAGUUGGGAGGCUAGUCCUACAUUAGAAAGGGUGAAGCUCUUGGGGGAAGACUUUCAGAACUGUCGCUGGUCUUGGGUCCCAAGAUCAGCCAAUAUGGCGGUUAAUGCUCUUACGUCGCGUGAUUUUGCGGAGCUGUGUGAUGUUGUUUGGGUCGAUAGGCCACCAUCUUCACUGGUUUUUGUUUUAAACAAUGAUGGUCUUCCAUGUCCUCAUUAGCUGUAGGUGGUAGUGUAGGGGGUGACGUUUUUGCCUAGUGGAAGCGUCUCUGUUUGUAACUCUUUACACUGCCUUCCUUACUUUUUCUUGUCUGUUGUUUGCCUCUUUGUUGACUAUCUUGUUUCCUCUCUAGCCUCUGUGCCCUGGAAUACUAUUUCCUUGUUCUUCAAAAAAACAAAACAAAACAAAACAAAACAAGAAAUGCUCAAUCCUCACGCACACCCUCUGCGAAAUGUCUAAUGAAGGCCUUCAUGUUGGUAUGAGAUGAUCCACCUUCUGCAAUGGCAUCAUGACAUAAUUGCGUAAGUUCUCUGUCUCUCCUCAUUUCCUUCCCUUCAUCAUUUCCAAAUCCAUAAACUUCUUCACUAACCCUGCAAUCUCCUCUCUUGUCACCAAAUGGUCAAUUUUAUCCUCAACCUUCCUCACCCUCCAUCCAACCCUCCAAUCCUCCACAAUGAGGUUACUAUUCAUUCCUUGAUCAAGUAGUAUAGCUAAGGUUACAAAGGGAGCACCAGCAAAAACACCUUCCGUAACCGAGUUCUAUCCACAAUGACUCGAAACACCCCCCCCCCCCAAAAAAAAACCCUCGAAUGGCACAAAAUCCUCAAUUGAUCACACCAAGGCACUACCAACCCCAUGUGGUGACCGUAACCGAGUUCCAUCCACAAUGACUAGAAACACCACUCCUCCCCACACAAAUACUCGAAUGGCACAAAACGCUCAAUUGGUCACAGCAAGGCACUACCAAUCCCAUGUCACGACAAACCUCCUUUAUCCUUUCGGUUUCCCCAUGAACCGAACGCCACUCUUGCGGAAGCCGGCUGCAUGCUAGAAACUGAAAGGAAACUUCCCAUGGCAAGGUACAAAAUGGAUACAGGAAAAUAAGCAAGGGUCUCGAAGAGACGAGGGAUAGAACCUGUGAAUCGCUCAACCAAAGGCAACAGAACUCGCUCGACCGCUAAUCGUGAAUUCGUUCACACGACCAAGUCAAACACUUGAUUUGAGAAGGAGGAAAAUACUCUCUUCAGUUGCACAAAACAAUAUAUUUGUAAUUAAUCAAGUCUCCCAAAUGCUUGUAUUACAUCAUAAGAGACACCAUAAUCUAGAUGAACUUAACAAAUUCCCAAGUAAUUAAAAUAGACAGCCUUUAUUAUUUCCAAAGCAUGGUAGUGGUCUUCAAAUUGUUUUCUUCAAGGCCUGCCUCCCGAAUAAAAAACUGAGCUACAAGGUUGUGAGUCUAGCCAUUGGAAUAGUUAGCAUCACACGUUUAUUUCCCUGAUCUGUUAACAAUGCAAAAUUGUUGUUUUAAUAGCAAAGUUCCACAAUAAACACGAAAUCUUAAAACGAAAUGUUAGACGGACAACACGAGGAUGUGUUACUGUCAUAUACGUAAAACUAUUAGUUGACACUCACUAUUAUCUUAAGAAAAAUGUUCUCUAGCUGCACGUUUGCUCAAUUCAACACUACUGUCAUUAGAAGUUGUGGUAGCGACACUCAGAAGAUGGCACUCUCACCGGUGAUGUGAUACAACCAAAUUGCAGUGUGCAAUCUUCUUACUUGUUGAUUGUAUCCAUAUAUGGAAGCUAGAACUUAAAAAUAAGUCCUCCAGGGAUUUUAAAGCUUGCAGCGGCCAUGCCUAACUGCUUUUUAUACAGUUUGGUUGUGCCAGACCCGUUCAAAGUGAAACAGGAAACACCCUCAUAUGAAACAUAAUAAGAACAUAAUUCUCAAGAAAAUGGGAGUUUGGAAAGUUUCCAAUUUUUAUUACUCCACAAAUGAAUUUGAUCCCAAUUGAUCCCAGGUUUGGUACAAACUGGGGUCCCAACCAAACUGGAAACACCCUCAGAUGAAACACAAUUGAGUAUUUUAGAGUGCCGAUAGCAGCGCCUUAAAUAAAACCGAAAGUGCAAAAUCAGAUACAAACAGCAACAACAAAGUCUUAUCUCACUAAGUGGAGUCAGUUGGCAAAGCUAGAGCAAACAUUCCACAUAGUUGAGAAUGCACUUGAAGUACAACCCCUUGCACCGACACUUUGUAUUUUCAUCGACGCACAAGACAAAUCACUACAAGCUUUGCACCGUCUUUUGAGAACUAGCAACAACAAGAUUCAGUGUGCUCAAUGCUUAUGCAUGGCCUUGAAAA